CGCCAUAACUUUGGCAAACAAACACUUGCCGAUCAUCCUUGUUAGUUAUCCUGAGAAAGACCAUGCCUCCACAGUGCGUUAUACAAAUAUUCCAUGCUAUCAAAGGCACUUCCGAUCUAACAAAGAUUCAAAUGCCAAGCCUAACAAUGAAUAACAACAAACAACCACAUUCUAAAAUGUACUAAACUUGGAUAUGCACUUUGUUACUUCAUUUUAUAAACCGUUAUAAGCGCUAUAAUUUCUUUCAUUUAUCUGAUUUAAUUGUCCCAAACUCCCAAUACAUAUUUAAACCGUGUUGUGGGCUUACAAGAGACAAAUGACAAAUUCAAAAUAAUGGGCCAGCCCAAGUUACUUGACUAGGCGAUGUUAAUCCACUUACUCACUUCAUGACCAUCCCCUCCUUCUCCAAUCUCUCACUCACCCUGUAGUUUCCACCGCAUCGCCGCUGCUCCUCUGCAUCGGAGAGACGUCUUCAAUUGCAAGAUCCACUCCUGCACGCACAAGAUCUAAUUCCUCCAAUGUACGCAUCGCGUCACCAGGUCAGUUCGUUAGCUGGAUCCUCACCAGGUCAGGCUACCUCAACCACUUCCAAGUGAACCUUCACAAACAACACAGUAUUACCUCUAAAAGAUAGCAAGUAAAUCCGGAGUAUUUCAGUUUUGAGCUGAUGAUUUUUUCCUAGAGGCAAGGUCAUAGAUAGCAAAGUUUUACUUUUCAAACAAAGGCAGUAGUGUAAUUAUUAGCCAUCAUUAAAAUCAAUAUUGUCUCAUGAAAAUGCCUACCCUGUUGACCCACUAAUGGCAACUACAAAAAUGUUUGAUUCAUCACGCCUAAUUCAAAUUAGCUUCAAUGCCUCAUGUUUACUUCCAUAGCCUAAACUAAUAAAUCACUGAAACUUCUUCUCUGCUAAACCUAUGUCUACUUGCUAAUCAACACCCGAGUAAUAACAUGGUAGAUCAUCAUACAUGUUUAUCUCCUGUUUUCUUGAUGUCUGAGUAACAGUAUAUGCAUGUGUACUCUACAGUUUAAACAAGCUCAACGCCCUACUAUUCUGGUUGAUAGCUGACUGUUGAGUCAUUGGCACUAAGGUUGCUAAUAGAACGGCGCACUUACAGAGAGUCCAUGAACAAGAUAGAAAGCAGAAAAUAUAACAUAAAAUAGAGAUGUAAUUCCCCUUUCUACUAUGAUGUAUAUGCUUGUUUAGGGCAAACCAUAUAUUUUCAGAAAUUUGUACCUUAUCAGCUAUUUGAUUUGGUUACCGCAGUUCGGUCUUUUCCCUCUUGUGAGUUCUGCACCAUCCUCACAUGAUUCAUCAACAACCACCUAGAAACGAUCAGCAGAGAAAAAAAAUCAAAGUGAAAUCAAAUGGAAUCGCAUGUAGGUAGUAGCAAAGUACGAUAUGUCACUCUAUUGGCACUUCGCCUGUACACCAUGCAACAUCAAGUGAGGCAUGAGCAAUAAAGUGAUCAGAUACCAACAUCAUGUAUUAAGCACAAAUCAUGAAUCAAUACCAGAGGACCAAAUAGUGUCACCACCUCUGUACUAACAACCAAACUUUUUUUAGAAGAACAGGGAGGCUCUAACAACCAACGUUUUAGCAUGUCAUUUGUUUAACAACCAAGCCGUUUACCAAGCAAAACCACAAUAGCUAAAUCUCCCAAGAGCAUACUUUCAGAGAAGCACAGUCUAGAUCAUGCACCCACAAAUAAACGACUUGGUUUUCAACUGGCAUAAUGAUUUCCUUCCUACCGCAAACCUCUGCCUGCAGCUUUAAACUGAACCAUCAAGUUCGAAUGUCAUUUAUCUACAAAAGUAUUGCCAUGGCAGUCUAAUUUCCCAAGGGCAGGAGUGAAAUAUACUUUCAGAAUGUGCAGUUCAGAUCAUGCAGUUAGAAAUAAACUUUAUGGUAGUAACUCUACAGGACUUGCUAUUCAAUUAUCUUUUCUAGUACCCAUUUUGAACACGACACAAUGAUUAGCUCCUAUUAUGUAAGGUCACACUAUUUAAAUCGAGAAUUGCUCGCAUUUUCAUGAUUUUUUUAGUUAUCCUAGUAGUGUUUACUUGCACAUCAGGAGUAUCACAGUUACAGCUAGAGAGGCAUUGUCCUAUCAUAAUUUAAAUAUCAGAAGCUGACAGCAGUAAUGUAAAUACAUAUGGUCGAGACAUAAUUUUGUAGCAAAACAUGUCAGAGAGGCAAUAGAUUACAUGUGAAGGCACCCACACAAGAUUAUUACAAGAGCAGACACAAGGAUCAGAACACUAAGUAACAAUUAGAAUCUGUAUUGCGAGCUCCCUUCCCCCAUUCUAUUUUUGCUUGACAUUCAAACCAAAAACAAAGUAAUUCUUUUUAAUUUCCAAAGCACAUGUGAAUAUGACAAUACAACUUGUCAAACCAGUACAUUGACUCAUAGCUCUGUGUCUAACAUUCAAAUUUAAAAUUAAGUAACUCUAUUUUGUUCUUAACGAAAACAAAAAGGACCUCAGAAAGCCCAAGUAGCACCAAAAAAAUAUAACACGGGAUAUUAAAAAAACACUGAAGCAUCAGAGUAGAGAGUAAUUAUCAAAUAGAAACAAAAGGAAAACAAAAGCAAGAAGCUCCCAUCCCCCAUCUGUUUUUGUUUUCUUUCACUUAUAUACACCAGACCAAUAGACAAGCACUUUAACUAUAAAAAACAUAAUUCCUAAUUCAAGAACAUAGUUGAAUAUUGGAGCACCACAUACUACUCUUCGUAAAGUAAAACCAGGCAUGUGAAGUCUCGCUUGACGGACGCUGCUUAGGAAGGAUUCAAUUAUGCUAUUGUUCAGUAGGUACAUUACAAAGCCCGUUCAUGCUAACAGUAGUAGAUUCUUGUAAUCACACUUCAUGUUCUAUUUUCUAAAUAAAAUAAAUGAUCUCGCUAUAGCAGAAAACAAUACAUGCAUAUAGCUGACUGAAUUACCUCGCAAAGGUUCUGUUCUUGCAUUUCUACAUCGCCCUUGGUGCUGAAAAUAUAUAAAACAUCAGGCCAACGCUUAACAAGAUUUUGAUACUUCAGGUGAUAGGAGCACAUCCUACCAGAAGUUUAGAACAAGAUGCACCAGAAGAACAGAUAAACUGAACUGUAGACAGUUACCCCAAACACAUAACAGGAACUGACAAACUUAACUGCAACAAAUCAUUAUACUCCACAGGAGCAAAAGAAAAUAGAACCGAAAGAGGAAGCACAAACCUUGGCAGCAAGAAUAACAACAUGUGAGCCGACAAGAUGGUGGAAGAGCGGCAUCAUCUGCAACACAAACAGAAAGAACAUAGGAAGAACUGAUCAGACAGAUAAAACACAUGAAAAUGUAUAUAAGACAACCAAUGGUAGUACAUAUAGGUGAAUUAAAAUGCAUUGGGUCAGCCAAAAACAGAGAAAACAUAACUGAUGAGAGCACAUAAAAGUAGAAAUAUGGGAAAGGAAGCCAAUGGUACAAUAGACAAAUUGUAAUGCAUGUGCUAAAAUAAAUGGGCUCAUCCUAGAGUCGUAGACCACCCGUCAAAUAAUCACCACAACACAUCCAAGCAGAAAUCCAGGGAAUGCCAAAGGCAGAAUAGACAAGCUCCAAAAUCGAUCUAGCUAGUCCAGGCAAGACAGGGGAAUGGGCUGCUGCAAUCAAAGUUAUAUGCAAGAUUCAGUAACAGAUUACUUCGUUGCCGCUGACUCAGAACUGAACUAAGCUAGGCAUACCCGCUGGAUUCAGGAACAUAUUACUUCGUUGCCGCUGACUCAGAACUGAAGUAAGCUAGGCAUACCCGCUGGAUUCAGGAACAGAUUACUUUGUUGCCGCUGACUCGGAACUGAACUAAGCUAGGCACCCGAGCACCGCGCUAGUCUGCUAGAAUCCAGCGGGUAUGCCAACAAAUAUCCUCGUUUGAUAUGCCAACAAAGAUCACACACAUGGGGAGGUUGUCAAAACCAAUACAUCAGCACACAUCGCUUUCAGUAGGCAAAAAUUGAGCAAGGGAGCGGGAAGGAACCCAACUGUAACGCCCUCGAUGCGGCUAUAUCUCCCACGUGUCGAAGCACGACUUAGAGGCAUAACUGCAUUGAAAGCAAUAUCGCAAGUGAGGUAAUCUUCACAACAACCCAUGUAAUGAAUAAGGGGAAAAGGUACAUAGUUGGCUUACAAUCGCCACUUCACACAAUACAUGAAUAAAGCAUUACAUCAUCCAGAUACACACAGGGUCCUGUUGGGGAACGUUGCAGAAAACAAAAAAAAUUCCUACGUUUUCACCAAGAUCCAUCUAUGAGUUCAUCUAGCAACGAGUGAUCGGAUGCAUCUACAUACCUUUGUAGAUCGCGAGCGGAAGCGUUCAAGAGAACGGGGAUGAUGGAGUCGUACUCAAUGUGAUCCAAAUCACCGGAGAUCCUAGCGCCGAACGGACGGCACCUCCGCGUUCAACACACGUACGGUCAGCGUGACGUCUCCUCCUUCUUGAUCCACCAAGGGGGAAGGAGAGGUUGAUGAAGAUCCAGCAGCACGACGGCGUGGUGGUGGAGGCAGCAGUCACCGCAGCAGGACUUCGCCGUUCUACUGUGAGAGGGAGAGGUGUAUCAGGGGAGAGGGAGGCGCCAAGACUUCAGGGUGCGGCUGCCCCCCUCCCCCCUUUAUAUAGGCCCCUAGGGGGGUGCGCCGGCCCUAGGAGAUGGGAUCUCCUAGGGGGGCGGCGGCCAAGGGGGACAUGUGUACUCAUAUCUAUACAACCCUAGCAUCAUCGAACCUUAAGUGUGUAGACCCUACGGGUUCGGGAGACAUGUAGACAUGACCGAGACGACUCUCCGAUCAAUAACCAACAACGGGAUCUAGAUACCCAUGUUGGCUCCCAUAUGCUCCUCGAUGAUCUCAUCAGAUGAACUACGAUGUCGAGGAUUCAAGCAACCCCGUAUACAAUUCCCUUUGUCAAUCGGUAUGUUACUUGCCCGAGAUUCGAUCAUCGGUAUCCCAAUACCUCGUUCAAUCUCGUUACCGGCAAGCCACUUUACUCGUACCGUAAUGCAUGAUCCCGUGACCAGACACUUGGUCACUUUGAGCUCAUUAUGAUGAUGCAUUACCGAGUGGGCCCAGAGAUACCUCUCCGUUAUACAGAGUGACAAAUCCCAGUCUUGAUCCGUGUCAACCCAAUAGACACUUUUGGAGAUACCCGUAGUAUACCUUUAUAGUCACCCAAUUAUGUUGUGACGUUUGGUACACCCAAAGCAUUCCUACGGUAUCCGAGAGUUACACGAUCUCAUGGUCUAAGGAAAAGAUACUUGACAUUGGAAAAACUCUAGCAAACGAACUAUACGAUCUUGUGCUAUGUUUAGGAUUGGGUCUUGUCCAUCACAUCAUUCUCCUAAUAAUGUGAUCUCGUUAUCAAUGACAUCCAAUGUCCAUAGUCAGGAAACCAUGACUAUCUGUUGACCAACGAGCUAGUCAACUAGAGGCUUACUAGGGAUAUGUUGGUGUCUAUGUAUUCACACAUGUAUUACGAUUUCCGAAUAACACAAUUAUAGCAUGAAUAAAAGACAAUUAUCAUGAACAAGGAAAUAUAAUAAUAAUCCUUUUAUUAUUGCCUCUAGGGCAUAUUUCCAAUAGUCUCCCACUUGCACUAGAGUCAAUAAUCUAGUUACAUUGUGAUGAAUCGAACACCCAUGGAAUUCUGGUGUUGAUCAUGUUUUGCUCUAGGGAGAGGUUUAGUCAACGGAUCUGCUACAUUCAGGUCCGUAUGUACUUUACAAAUAUCUAUGUCUCCAUCUUGAACAUUUUCACGAAUGGAGUUGAAGCGACGCUUGAUGUGCCUGGUCUUCUUGUGAAACCUGGGCUCCUUGGCAAGUGCAACAGCUCUAGUGUUGUCACAGAAGAGUUUGAUCGGCCCCGACGCAUUGGGUAUGACUCCUAGGUCGGUGAUGAACUCCUUCACCCAAAUUGCUUCAUGCGUUGCCUCCGAGGCCGCCAUGUACUCCGCUUCACAUGUAGAUCCCGCCACGAUGCUCUGCUUGCAACUGCACCAGCUUACUGCCGCACCAUUCAAAAUAUACACGUAUCCGGUUUGUGACUUAGAGUCAUCCAGAUCUGUGUCGAAGCUAGCAUCGACGUAACCCUUUACGACGAGCUCUUCGUCACCUCCAUAAACGAGAAACAUUUCCUUAGUCCUUUUCAGGUACUUCAGGAUAUUCUUGACCGCUGUCUAGUGUUCCUUGCCGGGAUUACUUUGGUACCUACCUACCAAACUUACGACAAGGUUUACAUCAGGUCUGGUACAUAGCAUGGCAUACAUAAUAGACCCUAUGGCUGAGGCAUAGGGGAUGACACUCAUCUCUUCUAUAUCUUCUGUCGUGGUCGGACAUUGAGCUGAGCUCAAUUUCACACCUUGCAACACAGGCAAGAACCCCUUCUUAGACUGAUCCAUAUUGAACUUCUUCAAUAUCUUAUCAAGGUAUGUGCUUUGUGAAAGACCUAUGAGGCGUCUUGAUCUAUCUCUAUAGAUCUUGAUGCCUAAUAUAUAAGCAGCUUCUCCAAGGUCCACCAUUGAAAAACUCUUAUUCAAGUAGGCCUUAAUGCUAUCCAAAAGCUCUAUAUCAUUUCCCAUCAAAAGUAUGUCAUCUACAUAUAAUAUGAGAAAUGCUACAGAGCUCCCACUCACUUUCUUGUAAACGCAGGCUUCUCCAUAAGUCUGCAUAAACCCAAACACUUUGAUCAUCUCAUCAAAGCGAAUGUUCCAACUCCGAGAUGCUUGCACCAGCCCAUAAAUCGAGCGUUGGAGCUUGCACACCUUGUCAGCAUUCUUAGGAUCGACAAAACCUUCCGGCUGCAUCAUAUACAAUUCUUCCUUAAGGAAACCAUUAAGGAAUGCCGUUUUGACGUCCAUUUGCCAUAUCUCAUAAUUAUAGAAUGCGGCAACUGCUAACAUGAUUCGGACGGACUUCAACUUCGCUACGGGUGAGAAAGUCUCAUCGUAGUCAACCCCUUGAACUUGUCGAUAACCCUUAGCGACAAGCCGAGCUUUAUAGAUGGUCACAUUUCCAUCCACGUCCGUCUUCUUCUUAAAGAUCCAUUUAUUUUCUAUGGCUCGCCGCUCAACGGGCAAGUCAGUCAAAAUCCAUACUUCGUUUUCAUACAUGGAUCCUAUCUCGGAUUUCAUGGCUUCCAGCCAUUUGUCGGAAUCCGGGCCCACCAUCGCUUCUUCAUAGUUCAAAGGUUCACCGUUGUCUAACAACAUGAUUUCCAAGACAGGGUUGCCGUACCACUCUGGUGCGGAACGUGUCCUUGUGGACCUAUGAAGUUCAGUAGCAACUUGAUCUGAAGUUCCAUGAUCAUCAUUGUCGGUGUCAAAACCGGCGGAUCUCGGGUAGGGGGUCCCGAACUGUGCGUCUAGGCCGGAUGGUAACAGGAGGCAAGGAACACUUUGUUUUACCCAGGUUCGGGCCCUCUCGAUGGAGGUAAUACCCUACUCCUGCUUGAUUAAUAUUGAUGAUAUGGGUAGUACAAGAGUAGAUCUACCACGAGAUCAAGGAGGCUAAACCCUAGAAGCUAGCCUAUGGUAUGAUUGUUGUGUAUGGAGUUGAAUUCCUACGGACUACAACCCUCCGGUUUAUAUAGACACCGGAUAGGGUUAGGGUUACAUAAAGUCGGUUACAAUGGUAGGAGAUCUUGAAUAUCCGCAUCGCCAAGCUUGCCUUCCACGCCAAGGAAAGUCACAUCUGGACACGGGACGAAGUCUUCAAUCUUGUGUCUUCAUAGUCCAGGAGUCCGGCUGAAGGUAUAGUCCGGCUACCCGAACACCCCCUAAUCCAGGACUCCCUCAGUAGCCCCUGAACCAGGAUUCAAUGAUGACGAGUCCGGCGCCCAAAUUGUCUUCGGCAUUGCAAGGCGGGUUCCUCCUCCAAGUCCUUCAUAGAAGAUUGUAAACACCAAUAGUAGUGUCCGGUUCUACAAAAUAAGCUUCCACAUAUUGCCAUAGAGAGAAUAAUAUUAACACAAAUCAAAUUUGCCGACGUAUUCCGCAGCGCGUCAUCACACUACGGCCAAGUCCUUUACUCAAAUCGUUUUUACUUUUCCACCUCAGCAUGUUUUGCGAGGCGGUUUCCUUGGCACGUCUUGUCAAAGCAGAGAUCGUGUACCCCCUUUUACGGGAUUCUCAUCAAUACGGACGUGGGUAACCCAAUCGUGCCCGUUAGCAUGUUUUCUCGAUUAAAGGCGAGUCCCAAACGGUUAUGGGGAGGGCUCCUGGUAUUCAACCUCUUAUAAAGAGACCAGGGCCUUACUCCUUUUCUCCAAUCCCAAAACAAGUUCGCCCGUCACCUCGAGUUCCAACACCCUAGGCUCUAGAUUCCGGGUGCCCCAAACCUUCGACAAUGUCCGGUUCCGACCUUCAAGGCCGAUGGAUGCCCUCCUCCAUCACGGAGGAGGACGUGCUAAAGUUGAGAGAGGCUAAGUUCUUGACCGCCGAAAUUCCGCACAGGUUGCCUGCUCAAAGGCAGGCUAUCCCCAGUCCCUAGUCCGGCGAGAGCGUAGUGUUCGUGUCUCACUUCCUUCAGGGGUUAGGCUUCCCGAUGGAUCCCUUUGUGAGGGGACUGCUGUUUUAUUAUGGGCUGGAAUUCCACGACUUAGCUUCGGAGUCCAUCCUCCAUAUCUCCUCGUUUAUCGUUGUAUGCGAAGCAUUCCUCUGUGUUACCCCUCACUUCGGAUUAUGGCUCAAGACUUUCAAAGUGGAGCCGAAGAUGAUCAAGGGACGGCACGCAGAGUGCGGAGGCGCUGUUAUAAGCAAAAAUGCUGAUUCUCCAUGGCCCGAGGGCUCUUUUCAAGAGGAGCUGGGCUUGUGGCAACGAGAGUGGUUUUAUAUCACCGCUCCCUGGAGCGCCAAGUGGGCGGCGCUUCCCGCCUUUCGCUCGGGUCCCCCGCCACGGCUAGCGUCAUGGGUUAACAGAGGGUUAGAUUGGGGUUUGCCCAAAGACGUGCCCUUGUUACAGGGCCGAAUUAAGGAUCUCUUGGAAGGAGACCUCAGCUUGAUCAAGGUGACGCAGGUCAUGCUGAUUCGCUGAAUAUUGCCCGGCAAACAUCGCCCCCUUCGCCUAUGGGAGUUUAAUCCAGAGGGACCGCGAGCUCUCCAGAACUUUAUGGGCGCAACGCCCGCGGAGAUGUAUAGGCUGUUCUUCGGAUCACAAGAGAUGUGUCCGGAUUUAACCGAGGACGCAGGCCUAAGCUGCAAUCGCCCGGAUACUCAAGUAAGCGACCUUGUGCCCGGACCUUCUAUCCGUAUAAUUUUCAUAACCUUGCCCCUAAAAGAGCCGUCCUUUUAAACAGGAGUGGAUAGCGAAGGCAAAGCUGAUCAGGUGUCCGGCUCCCCUUCCUGAAACCAGGCCGGAUCCCGUGCUGGUCAGGAUGCUGGAGAUAAUGACUUUGGAGGGGGAGGACAAGGAAGCUAUGGCCUCCUCGAAGGAAGCUGCUCCGAAGGGAGGAACCGACAAUUCCUCUCCUAAGGGGAAGAAGAGGACUGCCUCUGACGACCCGGAAACCAUGGCCUCGAAAUGGGGGAGAAAAUCCUUGUCAGAGGGUCCGAUGCUGGGGAGUCCCUCGGCCGAACUACGCCCUCAGGGGGAUCAGCCCUCCAGCGAGCCGUAAGUAGAGAGAGAUUUUCCUUUUGAGGGAUGAGAGAAAUCCUUGAUUCAUAUCUGAGAAGAUUAACCGAAAUUUUACCUUGUAGCUCGGACCUCAGCCCUUCUCAGCAGAGCUCGUCUUCGGGGGAUCUUCUUCCGGAGAUGAUGGAGAGCGGGACGCCUCCCCCUGCCGUGCCGCCUAGCGAGGCGGGCGACCCUGAGGUGUCGUCGCGGAGGGUUUCUCCAAAUCCGGCAGGGGCGGGAGGUGGCUGUGCGGCCCCCCGAGGUUCUUCGUGUCCGGCCUUCGAAAGAGGCCAUAGGACAAGUCCGGCACCGUCUGGUGCUCGGCUGGAGGAGCUAAAGAUUCUGCUGGGGCGAGCUUCUAUCUCAGAGGAGCACCGUGCAUUGAUGGGCACGGUGAUUGAAAGGAUUUCAUCCGCAGAAAGCGGAUUGCAUGAGGCCGUCAAAAGUUUACUGACGGGUUUUGAGGUACGUUAGAUAAUGUACACUUUUGUCAGUUGCGCAUAAGUAAGAUGCGCCCUGUGUAGAUAGUAGCCCCUGAGACUCUGCGUGUUGUCAAGAAAUGACGGCACGCAGAGGAUCAUAAUCCCAGGUCUUAAGAUGUCGCCUUUGAAUGUAGGUGGCGAGGUGUCCGGAUUCAAGCCGAACUGAUGAUGUGGCCGAACUAAAGCGGCAACUGGACAUGGCAGAUGUCGACAUCGCGCUUGUCAACAAGCUGCUUGAUGAGGCUCAAGGUAUGUAAUUCUUCGGGCGACAUCAGGUAAGAGGAGCUUCAUGCCAGUGUCUUACAAUGUGUGUGCUUGACGCAGAUGGUACGGCCGUCGUGGAUAAUCUUAGGGCAGAACUUGCCCGAGCUAAGGAGCAAGCCAGAAAAAGCGAUGCGGCUGCCGAGAAGGCCCUUGAAGAGCUGAGAGCCGAACAGGCUGCUCACUGCCGAAGCAAAGAAGAGAUGGCCGAGAUGGCCGAGAAGUUAAAGAGCACUGCAGACCGUUGCAAACUUCUUGAGAAAGAAGACCGGGCGAGACAGACGGACUUAGAGAAGGCCGUUGCCGAUGCCAAGGACGCUCGCUCUGCGAUGAGAGCUGCGAUGGAGGAGCUGCGUCAGGCGGAACAGAUUGCGGCUGGAAAGCCCUUUAUGCUGCAGAGGAAGUUUUGUGAUCCGAAGUUUGCUCCGUUGGACCGGAUGUGGAGUGUGGAGGAUACCUAUCUGGAUUUGGCAGCAAGUGCUGAUGAUGCGACUGAACACUUUCAAGAUCAGAAAGAUCGCGAAGUGGAAAAGCUUUUCUGGUCGCAGUUUCACAAUCCCGAGCGUCCACUGGCAGUGGAUGAUCGUUUGGCUCAAUGGGCUGAACUGAAUAGGUUUUCUGGACUCGCCAUGAAGUACGUCAUGGGUAACCUGUGGCCGGGGAGAUCAGAGCCGAAGAGUUACUUCAGCUUGGUGCAUCAAUUCCUUGACGUGGUGCCGUAUAAAUGCAAUGAAGAGGUCAGCAUGCAUAGAGGGCACUAGGAUGGCUCUUUCCCGUGUUAAGACAUACUGGGCAGAGAUGGAGACCACCAUUGUUGCGUCCCGAGAUUCGGACAAAAGCCGAGUACCCUCCGAGCACUAUUUUCAGGAAGUUCUUGAAGGCGCUCGUAUAAUAGAGACACAGUGCUCGAAAGAUGCUAUGUUAUGAUAGCAUAUGUAAUUAUAAAGUAAUAUUUUGAUAAACUGUAGUGGCCUUUUUUAUACUUGUGCCUCCAAGUAUUGGGAACACCUCCUAUGCGGCCGUUUUAAGAUAUAUAUAUAUAUAUAUAUAUAUAUAUAUAGAAUCUGAAAGAUGGCAGUCGUUGGCUUCAGCCCCCACGCACAUAGUGCGGGGGUGCUCGCAGAAGACGCAUUUUCACACUUAACCCAAUGUCUCGGUCCUACAAAGGAGGUGAUAGCGCAGCGGGCCAUGCAACCGGACUAUAUGCUUUAACACUUUCACUUAGCCAUAGGUGUUUGACAAUGAGACUCUUUAGGUAGCUCCUUGGUGGCAACUGUGCUCGUCCGAAUUCGGGGCGCGUGUGUGCCUGACCGGGAAGCGGCCCUUCGUUAAAGCGGAGGAAUCCGAUAGAUUCUGAUAGGUCAUCGAGUGGCUGACCAGUCUCACGCUACAUCAUGACAGUCAGUUUUCGGCUUUCUCUACUGAGGUGCUCGCCCGGCCGAACCGGGGGCACAAUCACAGUAGUUCUCCUGGUGCUACCUUAGCCGAUAGAGCGGAACGUAAGGUAGCCGAACUCAGGAGCCGGGCAACCCAACAUUUGACCAAAGACAUGAUUCGGAGCUGAUGCAUAUAAUGCCAAAACUCGCGACGUCGAACACUCCCUAAGGUGUUCGGUCUUUAUGAGUGCGGGCGAAAUGACACUCUUUAUUAAAAAAGCCCCUAGUGUCCAGGUACGUGCAAAAAUUCUGACGUGGCCACAUGCCAAGACGCCAGCCUUCUCCUUGGUUAUAUCAGAAAAAAAGAAAAAACCAGGGGAUAUGUAGCAACAAGAGACAGUAAAAAAGGUUUACGUAGGGUCUUAAUCUAAAAAGAAUCCUUUAGGACAGGUCCCUACUGCACGUCUGCGCCAGUGUCUCCGUUGUGCCGUAUCCUGGACGGGCGUCGUACGAUGUUCAUCUGUAAAAGAGAGGAACUGAGUUGAAAACGGGUCGUGCCAAAAAAGUUUAAAAUAAGCAAAGUAUAAAGUAAGAUAUAUAAGUUUGAGCUUUAUUGUCUCUUAUUGUAUAUGCGUGGAGCCCCUAGUGCGAGGGUAUAUGGCUUCUAGGCCUGCAUCAAUGAUGAUUUUGCACCGAACUCGUCUAUCCGCGUUCGUGGUCUUGAAUGACCUAUUUCGAAGUUUUUUGGCCGGUGAGGCCAUUUUGCUGUGGGCUGUCAAAGCGGCCGCACAGCCCUCCGCUUGGGGAGGCGCACUUUAGUGCUUCCCCUUCAAGGAGAUGAUGCGUCGUGGACCGGGCAUCUUAAGCAUAAGAGAUGCAUAAUGCGGUAUUGCGUUAAAGCGAGCGAAAGCUUCGCGUCCCAGUAGUGCUUGAUAGCGGCUUGAAAACGGGACGAUAUGGAAGGUCAGCUUUUCGCGGCGGAGGUUAUCGGCAGAGCCGAAUGUGACUGUGAGCCGGAGAAAACCCAUACAAUGGGUGUCCGGACCAGGUAUUACCCCUUGAAAGGAGGUUUUUCUACGGUGGAUUCUUGCUGGGUUUAUCCCCAUGUACUGGAUUGUAUCCUGAUAUAUCAGGUUUAGUCCACUACCGCCAUCCAUAAGGACAUUUGAAAACUGGAGUCCGCCAAUUAUUGGAUCGAGUAUCAAGGCAGUCCAGCCUACAUUCUUGAUAUUCCUAGAAUAAUCUAGCUGAUCGAAGAUGAUCGGUUUUCACAACCAGUGGCAGGACCCUUUGGGCCGUGUGGUGCGUACCUUUACGGGCGCCGCACGUUUUGUUAUGUGAAGUGAGUUCACUGUUUUUACUUCUUGUGGGAAGUUCUUUUGUUUCCUGGUGCUCUGCUUUUGGGGUUCGUCCUCGUCUUCUCUUGGUGUGUCGAGCCCCUUGUGUUCGGCAUUGAGUCUGCCGGAUUGUUUGAAAACCCAACAGUCUCUGUGGGUAUGGUUAGCAGGCUUCCCGGGAGUACUGUGUAUCUGACAUAUCCUGUCCAGGAUUUUACUUAGGUUGGAUGGAUCGUCCCUGCUAUCCUGGGGGGGGGGGGCGAUUUUUCCUGAUUUUGUCGUGAGCCUUUGAAUCCGGCAUUGACUGCCGUGCUCUUCAGACUUUUGUCCUUAGUCCAGCGACGGUCCUUGUUGUGUCGCGGUUUUCCGUUUCCAUCCCUAGUUUCAGAUGUACUUGGGUCGCUGGGGCUGCACCUUGCCAAGCAGCUGUCCUCCAAUGCACAAAAGCGGGUCAUGAGGCUUGUUAGUGCAGCCAUUGUUCUUGGCUUUUCUUGGCCGAGGUGUCUGGCGAGCCAUUCGUCUCGGACAUUAUGGCUGAAAGCUGCUAAGGCUUCGGCGUCCGGACAGUCGACUAUCUGAUUCUUUUUAGUGAGGAAUCUAUUCCAGAACUGCCGAGCUGAUUCUCUGGGUUGUCGAGUUAUGUGACUAAGAUCGUCUGCAUCCGGAGGGCGGACAUAGGUCCCUUGAAAGUUUGCUCGGAAAGCAUCCUCGAGCUCUUCCCAGCUUCCAAUUAUGUUUUCGGGAAGGCUUUUAAGCCAAUGCCGGGCUGGCCCUUUGAGCUUAAGGGGUACAUAUUUUAUGGCGUGGAGAUCAUCUCCUCUAGCCAUGUGUAUGUGGAGGAUAUAAUCCUCGAUCCAGACUCCAGGGUCUGUUGUUCCAUCAUAUGCCUCUAUGUUUACGUGUUUGAAUCCCUCUAGGAAUUCAUAGUCCAGGACCUCAUCGGUGAAACAUAGGGGGUGUGCGGUGCCCCUGUAUCUGGGUGUGCCGGAUUCUGAUGAUGGCUUCAUAGCGUUGCUUACAAGAGCUUGCUUUCUUGGCCCAUAAAUGGACCUGACUGGGCCAUGAUGCGAAUCCUUAAGUGGGUCGCAUGCCGAUUUAGGUGUGGCGCCGCUUGCCGCUUUAUGGGGUCAUCUAUCCGACCGUGUGGCUUUUUCAUUUUUUGAAUGCGAGGGCUCUAGGGCCUCUUCGUCGAAUUCAGGUAGUAGCUUUCUUUUUGGAUAGCUUUUAGUGCGGCGACUGUCGCCGUACUUAUCUGUGGUGUUGAUUACUUUGCUCCAUCUAAUCCGGAGUGCGUCUUCUGCUGUUUUUAGCUUCCGCUUCUGCUUCUUUAGGCUGCGUGCAGUUGCAACGAGCCUCUCGUGGAGAUUCUUCUGCUCCAUAGGUUUAUUCGGCGUGAGGUCGUCCGGAAUGCCGUUUUCGCCGGAGGAGGGAUGUUCGGUUUCUCUAUCCGUGUUGCCCUGUUUGGAUGGUUGCUCUAAGGCCUGCUCGUCGUCUACCUGCUCAUCCUGCUCUAUGGCUGGGUUUUUGUUGAGGCGGGGCUUGGGUCGGCGUUUACGCCGACGCUUUGAUUGCUUUUCGGGGGGUCGAUCUCCCGUCCCCUCCCCUUUUUCCUCGUUGUCGCUUCCUUUAAGGGUAUCCACCAUGUACACAUCGUGAGAUGAGGUGGCUGUCCAAUGCUCUAUGGGCGUUGGUUCGUUGGUAUCUCCUGCAUCGUCAUCCAUGUUGUCGAUGUCUCCGGAGUCGAAGUUGAGAACGUCGUUUAAAUUGUCAACAGUGGCUACCAAGUGGGUGGUGGGUGGGCUUUGAAUUUCUUCAUCGUCCGUAUCCCAUCCUCGCUGACCGUAGUUCGGUCGGGGAUCUCUUGAUAAGGAGAGAGUCUUGAGGGAGUUCAGGAUAUCGCCACAAGGCGAGUGCUGAAAGAUGUCUGCGGCGGUGAACUCCAUUAUCGGCGCACAAUCGGAUUCGAUUGGCACGGGCGCGGGGGGUUCGGAGUCCGGGGAGGAGUCCGGAUCCUCGGAGUCACGGGUGGUGCAGAGUGCGGGGCUAGCGUUUGGCUCGAUCGCUUUUGGGAUCACAGCCCCCAAGGUGACGUCCAACCGCUCAUUCUCGAUUGGUGCAAUAGGCUCUGAGUUAGGGGUUGGAACCGAUACGUGUGCGGCCUCCAGGACACUGUCCGGAGGCAGAGCUAGAUCAUGCCCCUCGAGAUAGUGCGGCGCGCUUGGCUGUGGCUCGAACCCGUCGAAGAUCAAGUCUCCGCGGAUGUCGGCCGUGUAGUUUAAACUUCCAAACCUGACCUGAUGGCCAGGGGCGUAGCUUUCAAUCUGCUCCAAGUGACCGAGCGAAUUGGCCCGCAGAGCGAAGCCGCCAAAGACGAAGAUCUGUCCAGGGAGAAAAGUCUCACCCUGGAUCAUAUCGUUGUUGAUGAUCAAAGGAGCCAUCGUGCCUAAGGGCGAUGACACAGAGGAACCCUCAAUGAAAGCACCAAUGUCAGUGUCAAAACCGGCGGAUCUCGGGUAGGGGGUCCCGAACUGUGCGUCUAGGCCGGAUGGUAACAGGAGGCAGGGAACACUUUCUUUUACCCAGGUUCGGUCCCUCUCGAUGGAGGUAAUACCCUACUCCUGCUUGAUUAAUAUUGAUGAUAUGGGUAGUACAAGAGUAGAUCUACCACGAGAUCAAGGAGGCUAAACCCUAGAAGCUAGCCUAUGGUAUGAUUGUUGUGUAUGGAGUUGAUUGCCUACGGACUACAACCCUCCGGUUUAUAUAGACAUCGGAUAGGGUUAGGGUUACAUAAAGUCGGUUACAAUGGUAGGAGAUCUUGAAUAUCCGCGUCGCCAAGCUUGCCUUCCACGCCAAGGAAAGUCCCAUCCGGACACGGGACGAAGUCUUCAAUCUUGUGUCUUCAUAGUCCAGGAGUCCGGCUGAAGGUAUAGUCCGGCUACCCGAACACCCCCUAAUCCAGGACUCCCUCAAUCAUCAUUAACUUCCUCUCUAGUCGGUGCAGGCACCUCAGGAACAUUUUCUUGAGUUGCGCCAUUUUCCGGUUCAAGAGGUAAUACUUCAUCAAGUUCUACUUUCCUCCCACUUACUUCUUUCGAGAGAAACUCCUUCUCUAGAAAGGAUCCAUUCUUGGCAACAAAGAUCUUGCCUUCGGAUCUGAGGUAGAAGGUAUACCCAAUAGUUUCUUUAGGGUAUCCUAUGAAGACGCAUUUUUCCGACUUGGGUUCGAGCUUUUCAGGUUGAAGUUUCUUGACAUAAGCAUCGCAUCCCCAAACUUUUAGAAACGACAGCUUAGGUUUCUUCCCAAACCAUAAUUCAUACGGUGUCGUCUCAACGGAUUUCGACGGAGCCCUAUUUAAAGUGAAUGCGGCAGUCUCUAAAGCAUAGCCCCAAAAUGAUAGCGGUAAAUCGGUAAGAGACAUCAUAGAUCGCGCCAUAUCUAAUAGAGUGCGAUUACGACGUUCGGACACACCAUUACACUGAGGUGUUCCAGGCGGCGUCAGUUGUGAAACUAUUCCACAUUUUCUUAAGUGUGUGCCAAAUUCGUGACUCAAGUAUUCUCCCCAACGAUCUGAUCGCAAGAACUUGAUUUUCCUGUCACGUUGAUUCUCAACCUCACUCUGAAAUUCCUUGAACUUUUCAAAGGUCUCAGACUUGUGUUUCAUUAAAUAGACAUACCCAUAUCUACUCAAGUCAUCAGUGAGGGUGAGAACAUAACGAUAGCCACCACGAGCCUCAACACUCAUUGGACCGCACACAUCAGUAUGUAUGAUUUCCAAUUAGUUGGUUGCUCGCUCCAUUGUUCCUGAGAAUGGAGUCUAGGUCAUUUUACCCAUGAGGCAUGGUUCGCACGUGUCAAAUGAUUCGUAAUCAAGAGACUCUAAAAGUCCAUCUGCAUGGAGCUUCUUCAUGCGUUUGACACCUAUGUGACCAAGGCGGCAGUGCCACAAGUAUGUGGGACUAUCAUUAUCAACCUUACAUCUUUUGGUAUUCACACUAUGAAUAUGUGUAGCAUUACGCUCGAGAUUCAUUAAGAAUAAACCAUUCACCAUCGGAGCAUGACCAUAAAACAUAUCUCUCAUAUAAAUAGAACAACCAUUAUUCUCGGAUUUAAAUGAGUAGCCAUCUCGAAUUAAACGAGAUCCUGAUACAAUGUUCAUGCUCAAAGCUGGCACUAAAUAACAAUUAUUGAGGUUUAAAACUAACCCCAUAGGUAAAUGUAGAGGUAGCGUGCCGACAGCGAUCACAUCGACCUUGGAACCAUUCCCGACGCGCAUCAUCACCUCGUCCUUCGCCAGUCUCAGCUUAUUCCACAGCUCCUGCUUUGAGUUACAAAUGUGAGCAACCGCACCGGUAUCAAAUACCCAGGAGCUACUACGAGUACUGGUAAGGUACACAUCAAUUACAUGUAUAUCACAUAUACCUUUCGUGAUGCCGGCCUUCUUGUCCGCUAAGUAUUUGGGGCAGUUCCGCUUCCAGUGACCACUUCCCUUGCAAUAAAAACACUCAGUCUCGGGCUUGGGUCCAUUCUUUGGCUUCUUCCCGGCAGCUUGCUUGCCGGGCGCGGCAACUCCCUUGCCGUCCUUCUUGAAGUUCUUCUUACCCUUGCCUUUCUUGAACUUAGUGGUUUUAUUCACCAUCAACACUUGAUGUUCCUUUUUGACUUCUACCUAUGCUGAUUUCAGCAUUGCAAAUACUUCAGGAAUGGUCUUUUCCAUCCCCUGCAUAUUGAAGUUCAUCACAAAGCUCUUGUAGCUUGGUGGAAGCGACUGAAGGAUUCUGUCAAUGACCGCAUCAUCCGGGAGAUUAACUCCCAGCUGAGUCAAGCGGUUAUGUAACCCAGACAUAGUGAGUAUGUGCUCACUGACAGAACUGUUUUCCUCCAUCUUACAGCUGAAGAACUUGUCGGAGACUUCAUAUCUCUCGACCCGAGCAUGAGCUUGAAAAACCAUUUUCAGCUCUUCGAACAUCUCAUAUGCUCCGUGUCUCUCAAAACGCUUUUGGAGCCCCGGCUCUAAGCUGUAAAGCAUGCCGCACUGAACGAGGGAGUAAUCAUCGGUACAUGUCUGCCAAGCGUUCAUAACGUCUUGUUCUGCAGGGAGAGCAGGUGCUUCACCUAGCGGUGCUUGUAGGACAUAAUCUUUCUUGGCAGCUAUGAGGAUGAUCCUCGGGUUCCGGACCCAGUCCGUAUAGUUGCUGCCAUCGUCUUUUAGCUUGGUUUUCUCUAGGAACGCGUUGAAGUUGAGGACAACGUUGGCCAUUUGAUCUACAAUACAUGUUGUAAAGAUUUUAGACUAAGUUCAUGAUAAUUAAGUUCAUCUAAUCAAAUUAUUCAAUGAACUCCCACUUAGAUAGACAUCCCUCCAGUCAUCUAAGUAUAACAUGAUCCGAGUUAACUAGGCCGUGUCCGAUCAUCACGUGAGACGGACUAGUCAACAUCGGUGAACAUCUGCAUGUUGAUCGUAUCUUCUAUACGACUCAUGCUCGACCUUUUAGUCUUCUGUGUUCCGAGGCCAUGUCUGUACAUGCUAGGCUCGUCAAGUCAACCUAAGUGUUUGCAUGUGUAAAUCUGUCUUACACCCGUUGUAUGUGAACGUUGGAAUCUAUCACACCCAAUCAUCACGUGGUGCUUCGAAACAACGAACUGUCACAAUGGUGCACAGUUAGGGGGAACACUUUCUUGAAAUUAUUAUGAGGGAUCAUCUUAUUUACUACCGUCGUUCUAAGUAAACAAGAUGCAAAAACAUGAUAAACAUCACAUGCAAUCGAAUAAUAGUGACAUGAUAUGGCCAGUAUCAUAUAGCUCCUGUAAUCUCCAUCUUGGGGCUCCAUGAUCAUCUUGUCACCGGCAUGACACCAUGAUCUCCAUCAUCAUGAUCUCCAUCAUCGUGUCUCCAUGAAGUUGCUCGCCAACUAUUACUUCUACUACUAUGGCUAACACGUUUAGCAAUAAAGUAAAGUAAUUUACAUGGCGUUUCUCAAUGACACGCAGGUCAUACAAAAAAUAAAGACAACUCCUAUGGCUCCUGCCGGUUGUCAUGCUCAUCGACAUGCAAGUCGUGAUUCCUAUUACAAGAACAUGAUCUCAUACAUCACAUAUAUAUCAUUCAUCAUUCAUCACAACUUUGGCCAUAUCACAUCACAGAACACUUGCUGCAAAAACAAGUUAGACGUCCUCUAAUUGUUGUUGCAAGUUUUACGUGGCUGCAAGAGGGUUCUGGCUAGAACGUUUUCUUACCUACAUUAAAGCCACAACAUGAUUUGUCAACUUCUAUUUACCCUUCAUAAGGACCCUUUUAUUCAAAUCCGCUCCAACUAAAGUGGGAGAGACAGACACCCGCCAGCCACCUUAUGCAACUAGAACUACAGGAAUCCAGUACUUCGCCGUCUGCCAUGGCGGACGGCAAAGGCAGGGACGGCUGACGGCAAAGCACUUUGCCAUCCGCGGCGGACGGCAAACAGUGACGGCAAAGAUAGGGUCGGCAAACAGGUUCUUUGCCGUCGACUUUUUAUGGCGGACGGCAAAGAGCCCUUUGCCUACAGCGGCUGACGGCAAAGAGGGGGGACGGCAAAAUGUUGCACGUCCGCCAGCGUCACUCCGUUAGGCGGCUAAUGGCGGCCUUUGCCGUCCGCCAGCGGAUGGCAAAUUUGAGCGCCUCUUUGCCGUUCACCAGACGAUGUCAGCUAUACGUCAGCGCCCGCUCUUUUUUGCCGUCCGCCUGGCGGACGGCAAAGGCAAAGUCUUUGCCAACAGCUUGGCUUGCCGUCCGCCACGGUAGGCAAAUUGGCCAAAUGGUCCAUCCCCAGGAAGCACAGGUGGGCGCCACGUGCCCCCUUUGCCGUCUGCCACCGACGGCAAAGGGGUCUUUGCCGUAUGCCGCGGACGGCAAAGAGCCUGCACUGCCUCUUUUUUGUUCUGUUUUUCUUAUAUCCAACAAUUAUCACAACAAAUAUUUCACGGCACAUAUAUAUCCAACAUAAUAAAUAUCCAGCACAUAUAUAUCCAUCCAUACAUACAUAGUAGGUUGCACAUAGUUCCAUCGAUCCAUACAUAUUACAAUAUGCAAAGUUUCAUCAUAGCAAGCGAGUAGAAUACAAGAAGUGCAUCAAAGGAAAAAACAGGAAAAAGCAAGCAAUCCAUCAUAGGAAGCUGGCUUCCGUGAAGUGAAUGAAACCUGCAAAAUGACAAAUAAGAAAGUUAGAAAAAGAAGACUAGAAGAAGAAUUAGACUAGAGGAAAAAGAAUAGAAGAAGAAGACUAGAAGAAGAAGUAUAUGCCAUAUAUUAGCUAACUUAUGUGAAAUGUAUCGUUUAUGAGCUAACCUAGGUGAAAUGGGUAGUUUAUGAGCUAUCCUAGGUGAAAUGGAUCAUUUUGGAGCUAAGUUAGGUGAAAUGGGUCGUUUAUGAGCAAACCUAGGUGAAAUGGGUUGUUUAUGAGCAAACCUAGGUGAAAUGAGUCGUUUAUGAGCAAACCUAGGUGAAAUGGGUCGUUUAUGAGCUAAGUUAGGUGAAAUGAGUUGUUUAUGAGCAAACCUAGGUGAAAUGGGUCGUUUAUGAGCUAACCUAGGUGAAAUAGGUUGUUUAUGAGCUAACCUAGGUGAAAUGGGUCAUUUAUGAGCUAACCUAGGUGAAAUGGGUCGUUUAUGAGGUAACCUAGGUGAAAUGGGUCGUUUAUGAGCUAACCUAGGUGAAAUUGAUCAUUUUGGAGCUAACUUAGUUGAAAUGGGUGGUUUAUGAGCUAACUAAGGUGAAAUGCCACGUUUUUGAUCUAACUAAGGUAAAAUGGAUCGUUUUUGAGCUAACUUAGGUGAAAUGGGUCGUUUAUGAGCUAAGUUAGGUGAAAUGAGUUGUUUAUGAGCAAACCUAGGUGAAAUGGGUCGUUUAUGAGCUAACCUAGGUGAAAUAGGUUGUUUAUGAGCUAACCUAGGUGAAAUGGGUCAUUUAUGAGCUAACCUAGGUCAAAUGGGUCGUUUAUGAGGUAACCUAGGUGAAAUGGGUCGUUUAUGAGCUAACCUAGGUGAAAUUGAUCAUUUUGGAGCUAACUUAGUUGAGAUGGGUCUUUUAUGAGCUAACUAAGGUGAAAUGCCACGUUUUUGAGCUAACUAAGGUAAAAUGGAUCGUUUUUUAGCUAACUUAGGUGAAAUGGGUCAUUUUGGAGCUAACCUAGGUGGAAUGGGUCAUUUUAAAGCUAACGUAGGUAAAAUGGAUCAUUUAGGAGCUAAUCUACAUAAAAUGGGUCAUUUUAGAGCUAACUUGGAUAAAUUGGAUCACUUGUAAGCUAACUAAGGUAAAAUGAAUCAUUUUAGAGCUAACUUAGGUAGAAUGGAUGGUUUAUGAGGUCAGUAAGCUUAUUAAGUCAUUUUGGAGGAAAAGAAGCUAACUCUAGGUCAUUAUGGUAAGCAUAUUGGAGGAAAUAAAACUAAGUCUAGGUCUUUAUGCAUUUGUUAAGCAAAACACUAGAGAAACUUACCGUGAUCAGAAAGGUGUAGGAGCGGGCUGGCUCGCGCCGGUAGCUGGAGAAGGAGCAGGCUGGCUCGCGCCGGUAGCUGGAGAAGGAUCGUGCGAUGCGUUUCUGGAGUUAAGCUGCACCAAAGAUCAUUUCCAAUGUCUCAUUAGCAUUAUGACACUCAAAUGUUAAGACUAGCAAGUAAUGUCCAUUCAAAUUAAACUCACCGUGCUCCCAGGAGCAAUCACUGGCAUCGGCGGAGCGGUCUGACCGGACUUCUCGCACACAGACUGCACAUUUGGUUUUCACAACAGAGUCAUACUAGUUAGUAAUGAGACUCAAAUGUUAAGACUAGCAAGUAAUAUGCAGAAGAAACUUACCACAAGGAGCUCGUACAUGGCCCUUGCCUGCAUGUCAUUCCAUGCCCUCUCCUCCUCCAACAUCUUUGUCGUCCUCUCCUCCAACUCCCGCUGCCUCUCCGCCGCCUCCGCCAAGUUUCUCCGUUCUACCUCUCUCACUCUGUAUAGCAGCCUGCAACACCACUCACAUGACCAUUUGUAAUCAUUGAUGGAAGCGCACACAAUGUAAUGGAGAAAGAUAGCUGAGUACGUAUAACUAACCUUGAAGGCGAGUUGGACUGGCCGUUCACGAGGCCUUAUCUCAGGAGCGGAGCUCGACUGGCGCGCCUUGAUCUCCGGGAGAGUGCUAGGACAACGGAUAAGUCCAUCUCCCAUGGCUAUGGAGCCAUGGGACCUCCCGCCACCAGAUAUCAUCAGCAGCUCUAUAUCAAUGGGACCCUGGCUCGGGUUAAAGUCCUCCCCUUUCCUCGCCUUCCCAUGAUCUCUAUAUUGCACGAGCUUGUCGUGGGCGGAGAUGUUGGUGAAGUUCUUUGGAUCAUCGAGGUCAGACGCAGAGAAUGCCUUGACUUUCUUGUAAGGGCCAGUGUGGGCCAUGGCAUACAGGUCGUACACCUCUGGCACCUUAUCCGCCUUAUUAUAGCGUGCCUGAAAGAGAGAAACAAAGUAAAUUAGUAAUUAAAGGGCUAAAGCUAGCAUGAUGAAUGAAUUGCAUGAAUCAUGAAGCAAACCACAUACCCAGUUCCGCCCGUACUGAAAUAAGUUGGAGCUGCCUUGGUGGUGUGGCACACCUUCCAUUUGGGCACGUUUGUCCUUGGCCUCUUUGUGGGUGGCCAGACAUUCUUUUGAGCACCACGCAUUGACCAACACCUCCCAACAAUCCAUCCGAUCCGCACACAAUCUCGGAGGGGCCUAAGUUAGCAAAUAGAAACUUGAGCGCUAUGGCUAUGAAUUACUAAAUGAAGGAAGUAAGUACAAGGCCUUAAGAAUUACCUUCAUGUACUUCUCCUUACUCAAGAACUUAUCGCAACACUCCUACUUGGGCUUCUUGAUACCACGCCCGGCGUAGUAGUCUCGAACAGCCUGCACCCGAACCUCAUGCCGUAAGUUCUGAAGUAGGCGCUUGCACUCCUUGUGGAUAACAUGAUCCGCCUCCUCCUCGUAUCCCUCCUCACACCUGUAGAAUGUCUGCAAUCAAAUGAGACAAUAUUGAUUAGUACAAUUAAUAACUAGCUAGUUGAAGAUUUUUAAUUGUGUAAAGGAGCAAUUACCCAGAACUUUCUGAUCAUGACGUCUGCCCUCGUCUUGCACAAGACACCGUCGAUAAUCUCACCCGGCGGGGCCGGGGCAGCCAAGUAGUGCUCCCAAGUCAAUCCAACCUCUGGAAGCCGACCCUCACCAGGCAACGUGAUAAACCCCGGGAAGUUUUGCCGAAUCAGAACUCCAAGGACGGAGUUGGGCCGGCGGACACUUUCAUGGUGGUCCCAACCCCUCCAGCAUGACAAGGCCAACACAUCAGUUAUUUGAAGAAACGUGAAUGCAGAAGGUACAAAAAUAUUAAAUGCACUUACCUCUCCCCAUCAGGGAAAAUCAACCACCUCUGCUCACGGGUCGCCGGCACAGACGGGAGCCGUGUAGCACCACGCUGGUAGAUGUUGCCCCCUCCUCCCCCUCCUCAUCAGUCGGCUCCCCGCCAUCAUCAGCAUGGCCACUCGGCUCCCCGCCAUCAUCAGCGUGGCCACUCGACUCCUCAGGCUGACCCAACCAGGUACCCCAUCCAGACGUGUGCUCCUCCGGGCUCUCGUGGGCCCAAGUCUCGUGGGUCGAAGGCCUGUCGACCCGAGGCUCGUGGGCCGAAGACCCGUGGACUGGAGGCUCGUGGACCGGAGUCCGUGCAGCCUCCUCCUCGGACGAGUCCACCCUAGCAGUCACGUGCUCGGGUGAAACAGCUGGGGGCGGUGGCGAGGAAGGCGCCGUAAGAGUCACCCUACCUCCUCUCCCGCGACCACGUGCUCCACCUCCUCUCUUCUUCUUACAUCGUCCCCUUUUGGGCACCGCGGUCGACGAAGAAGGGCCCGGCGAUGUUGCCAUACUAUCCAGCAACGCUUGACGGAGAGGUGCGUGUGGAAUGGAAGACCUCGCACCACGCACCGACGAAGAAGGGGCCUCGGCGCGCUCCCGACCAGCACCCACCAUCUUUCAACACCUGCCAUGACAAAGAAUAAACGAAAUUAGUACAACAUAAAAAAAAGUACCGACAUGAAUAAUAAUAUGUAUAUCACUUAAGUGUAUCAUCAUCAAGUACAACAUAAAAAAAUUGAAUACCUGACACUACUAAUAAUCUCGAUCAGUAUCAUCAAUAAAUGCAUAAUCAUCAUCAUCACUAUAAUCAAUGAUGGGCUCAUAGGGUUCAUUGGCAUCAACAUGUGCAAGGCCACCUUGACGUAAUCGGUCAAGCAUUGAUAGGUCAUCCGCAGCAGUAACCUCUUCUUGUUCCGGUUCUUCUUGUUCCUCCUCUGGGGUGAUGUCGGAUUCAUUGUCGCUGUCUACUUCAAUGUUUUGGGGUGAAGUAUAGCGGUUCUUGAAACGCUUUUUGGAAAGACGUGUCUCUUGGAAGAAUUUUCCUUCAUAUGUGUCUGGGUUAAUAUGAGGUUCAUAAUCCUCUUCCUUUGGGGGAGAAAGUCUAGCACGUGGCGGCACUUCAUAAACGACAUCCCAACCUUUUAGAUUUGGAUUAGUUUGGCAGGCCCACGGUAGAUAGAAUACUUGGGUCGCCUGUUGAGCCGUAAUAUAGACAUCAGGAACAUCUAAAUGGGUGCUUUGGUUGAUUUCAACUAGCCCUAUAUGUUCAUGAGUCCUUCUAGUCUCCUUCGGCUGAAACUAAUAACAUUUGAAGACUAUGACAUUCGAUGGGUUUUCACCAUAGAACGGAAGUUCAUAAAUUGCUUCAACUCUCCCAUAAUACUCGGUACCUCCUUCGCUGAUAGCAGAUACACAACAAUUUGUAGACUUUCGGUCGGCCAUAGAUAGCUCUUUGCCAUAGGUACGAAAGCGAUACCCGUUGAUGUCGUACUUGUCAAAUGAACGGACCUUAUAGUCAAAACCAUUAGCGACUUGUCUCAAUUCGGCGUCCAUAGACUCUGAAUUAGCCUACAACUUUAAUAUGAAAGGAUUGUUGCAUUAUGCACAAAUUAGCGAAUGAAAUGAAAUUGUCUAAUAGAAAUUACCGUUUGUUUGAACCAAGAGAUGAAACCGGGAUAGCCGCCUCCUUGCUUUGCGAGAAGCUCAUACUCUUCGACGGAAUCCUUUUGGAUCUCCGCUCCAUACGAGAAUAUGGCGACGUAUCGACUGUAUGACAUAUCCAGGAAUAAGAGCAGUUCAAAGGAAAUAGAAGUUGCGAAACAAUGUACCGAGAACUUACUCGAUGUACGGCCGCACUUCUAUCAGGUUGUUGAAGAUAUACAACGAAAUGGUCUGCCAUUCUUCGUUACCCAAAGAUACUAGAUGUGAAACACUAGCUGGUGCGAGAUUCCCUUUGAAUAGGUUGAGGUUGGAUCCACCCUUUUUAGGCUCGUCAGCAUUGUACCGAGGCUUCGGAUUAUGCAAAUGACGAUUUUUGGCUUCGUAGUGCACUGUUACGAAGUUUGCCGCCUCCUCUGUGAUGAAUGCCUCAGCCAUCGAUGCUUCAAUUCUACGUUUAUUUUUACAUUUUUCUCGAAGCGUCUUCUGCAUCCUCUUAGUUGGGUAGCACCAACGAUUUUGCACGGGCCCCCCAAUCUUACCUCGGUCGGGAGAUGCAAAAUCAAAUGCUGCAUUGGAUUAAAGAAGCCCAGUGGAAAGAUCUUCUCUAACUUGCAGAUCAACUCCGGCGCCAACUCUUCCAUUUCUUCUAGCACGCCAGGCGAUAGUUCUUUCGCAUAAAGAACACGGAAGAAAUAGCUGAGUUCUGCCAGUACUAGCCAUUCAUCCUCAGGGAUGAAGCCACGCAACAUCACCGGCAUUACCCGCUCAAUCCAUAUGUGCCAAUCAUGACUCUUGAGACCAAAUAUCUUCAGUUUAUCAAGAUUCGCUCCCCUCUUUAGAUUCGCUGCAUACCCAACCGGGGAACAUCAACUGCUGUUGCACCCACAAGAGAAUUUCCCUAAUAGUUGGCCUUCCAAGAUUGAACCAUGCCUUUGGCUUCGUCCAGUUCUGCUUUCCUUUUGGUUCUUUCAUGUUUUGUAACGGCCUAUCACAUAGUGCCUCCAGAUCGACUCUAGCCUUAGUAUUAUCCUUUGACUUCCCAUCUAUGCCGAACAAUGUACCAAAAAGUGCCUCAGCGAUAUUCUUCUCAGUGUGCAUCACGUCGAUGUUGUGUGGGUAAAGGAGGUCUUUGAAGUAAGGCAGAUCCCAUAAGCAUGUUUUGUGAGUCCACGCGUGCUUAGUAUUAUACCCCUUGAAGUACCCUGGACGUUGUGGAUCUGGCUCGAGAGCGUUUAACUGAUCCAGGGUCUGUUGGCCUGUCAAUGCAGGUGGUGCAGAGUUUUUGACAACUCUACCCCUGAUGAAGUUCUUCUUGUCUUUCCUGAACUUAUGGCGAGGAUCUAGGAACUGUCUAUGCAUGUCAAAGCAAGAAAACUUGCGACCGGCCUGAAGCCAACAAAACUCAAGAGCUCCCUUGCAUGUGGGGCACGGGAACCUUCCAUGCACACACCAGCCAACGAAUAGCGCAUACGCCGGCAAGUCAUGCGUCGAGUACAUGUACCAGACACGCAUUAUGAAGUUCCGUUUGCUAAAGGCAUCGUAUGUCUUGAACCCAUUAUCACAGGCUUCUUGCAAUUCGUCCUUAAGCGGCUGCAUGUACACAUUCAUAUUUUUCCCCGGAUAGUUGGGUCCUGGAAUUAUCAACGUCAGGAAAAUGUUCUUUCUUUGCAUAAUCUGUCCGGGGGGAGAUUGAGUGGAAAGACAAAUACGGGCCAACAACUGUAUUGGGCUGCCGUCAUACCAAACACACUGAACCCAUCCGUGUUGAUGCCGACUCGAGGAUGCCUCGGAUCUGCCGCUUUGUCAGCAUGUAAUUCAUCAAACUUUUUCCAUGCAACACCAUCCGAUGUGUGUACCAUCAUCAGAUUCCCAUCUGCAUCUAGUUUGGUUCUUUUGCCUGUUUUGUGCCAUGUCAUCUGUCUGGCCGUCUCUUCGACCAUGAAAAGACGUUGAAGUCUUGGUACGAUUGGCAUAUACCGAAGAACACUAAUGGGGAUUUUGGUCUGUGUCUUCUCACCCAUACCGUUGUCUACCACAAUAUACCUGGAAGACUUGCAAAUGGGACAAUAUUUCAAGUCCACGUAGUCAAGCCUAAAUAAGGCACAUCCUUUCUCACAGGCAUGUAUCUUCUCAUAGGGCAUCUUCAGUGCACGGAGGAUUUUGUCCGACUGGUACAGGUUUGCAGGAAUUACAUGGCCUUUGGGUAGAAAGCGUCCAAAUACUGUCAUAAUUGCGUCAUAGCAUUCUCUGCCCAAGUUGAACUGAGCCUUCAGAGCCAUUACUUGUGAGAUGGCAUCCAACUGACAAAGCUCAGUGUGCUCGUGGAGCGGAUGUUUUGAAGACUCCAACAUUUCAUUGAAGGUCUUUGCAGAUUCAUCCAUCUCCUCGUCCGAAUCUCGAGCAUCAUCAUAGUCUUGCACCAUGUUUUCCAUCCCGGUACCAUGCUCGUCGGUGCGACGACGAUCCACCUCAGCUCGGUCACAUUGGGCAGACUCACCAUGAAAUGUCCACAUCGUAUAAUCGGGCGUAAAACCACUCUUCUGCAAGUGUUUGCCCAUUUCAGCCUCUGUCUUCUUUUCCCAAUUGCCGCACUGGAAACAGGGGCACCAGGUUUUCUUUUGGCCAUUUGCAAAUGCGGCUUGCACAAACCCCUUGGUUUUUGUGAACCAUUCAGCACUCCAUUUGUUCUGACCAGUGUGAACGGUAUACAUCCAAUGACGUUCACUCAUCUUGACUUUCAGAGCUACUGGACACACAACAAUUAUAUAUGUAAUUCAUCGUGUAUAUAUUCAUCAGUUGAUCUACUUUGUCAAUUUUAUUACUUCCAUGCAACCUACACUCUAAUAGGUAAUGAUAGGUCCUAAUCCCACCCGUGUAUGUGUAGAUUGGGUUCAUUUUCCCAUGCUAUGCUCCGGAUCCGACACAAAAUUUCGGCAGCACCUCCCCGCUGUUCUCCUGAUACACGUCUCUGCAAUAAACAGAGAGGAUGUGUACCCGGAGAACAACAGGGGAGGCACUGACAAAAUUUAUGCGUCAGAUCCAGAGCAAAGCAUAUGGGAAAACGAACCCAAUCUACACAUACUCGGGCUGUCCAUGGAUAGUGUUGGACAAUUCGAAAGAAUCAAGGUUAUAAAUAUGCAAAUGCAUGCAUAUUUAUAACUAUGACGCUUUCGAACGGGAGACACAUAUUGGUUACGCACACUGAUCAUUGAAGACACAUAUAUAGCUAGCUAUCAAGUUUCAUCGGAAUAGAUCAAAUAAUUAAUGAGGGAGGAGGACUUGUCAUUUGUGCUCACCCACGAAUGAAGGGGCAGAGCUCGUCAAACGCACGGUGAGGUCGUCGAACAUCAAACCUCGCAGCGAUGAAACAACUGCACAUUUAAAACUACACGAUCAACACAAUUAUAUAUGAUGUUUUUCAUAACAAAUCAAAAACAUAUAUGACCUAACUAAUAAUUCACAAAUAUAUGACCCCGUCGGCCUCUGGAAGGCCAAAGAACACCUUUUCGGGAGGUGUCGGGGGUCAGGGUGUCCUGUCGGUGUCGGGGUGCCGUGUCGGGGUCGGGGUGCUGUUUCNNNNNNNNNNNNNNNNNNNNNNNNNNNNNNNNNNNNNNNNNNNNNNNNNNNNNNNNNNNNNNNNNNNNNNNNNNNNNNNNNNNNNNNNNNNNNNNNNNNNNNNNNNNNNNNNNNNNNNNNNNNNNNNNNNNNNNNNNNNNNNNNNNNNNNNNNNNNNNNNNNNNNNNNNNNNNNNNNNNNNNNNNNNNNNNNNNNNNNNNNNNNNNNNNNNNNNNNNNNNNNNNNNNNNNNNNNNNNNNNNNNNNNNNNNNNNNNNNNNNNNNNNNNNNNNNNNNNNNNNNNNNNNNNNNNNNNNNNNNNNNNNNNNNNNNNNNNNNNNNNNNNNNNNNNNNNNNNNNNNNNNNNNNNNNNNNNNNNNNNNNNNNNNNNNNNNNNNNNNNNNNNNNNNNNNNNNNNNNNNNNNNNNNNNNNNNNNNNNNNNNNNNNNNNNNNNNNNNNNNNNNNNNNNNNNNNNNNNNNNNNNNNNNNNNNNNNNNNNNNNNNNNNNNNNNNNNNNNNNNNNNNNNNNNNNNNNNNNNNNNNNNNNNNNNNNNNNNNNNNNNNNNNNNNNNNNNNNNNNNNNNNNNNNNNNNNNNNNNNNNNNNNNNNNNNNNNNNNNNNNNNNNNNNNNNNNNNNNNNNNNNNNNNNNNNNNNNNNNNNNNNNNNNNNNNNNNNNNNNNNNNNNNNNNNNNNNNNNNNNNNNNNNNNNNNNNNNNNNNNNNNNNNNNNNNNNNNNNNNNNNNNNNNNNNNNNNNNNNNNNNNNNNNNNNNNNNNNNNNNNNNNNNNNNNNNNNNNNNNNNNNNNNNNNNNNNNNNNNNNNNNNNNNNNNNNNNNNNNNNNNNNNNNNNNNNNNNNNNNNNNNNNNNNNNNNNNNNNNNNNNNNNNNNNNNNNNNNNNNNNNNNNNNNNNNNNNNNNNNNNNNNNNNNNNNNNNNNNNNNNNNNNNNNNNNNNNNNNNNNNNNNNNNNNNNNNNNNNNNNNNNNNNNNNNNNNNNNNNNNNNNNNNNNNNNNNNNNNNNNNNNNNNNNNNNNNNNNNNNNNNNNNNNNNNNNNNNNNNNNNNNNNNNNNNNNNNNNNNNNNNNNNNNNNNNNNNNNNNNNNNNNNNNNNNNNNNNNNNNNNNNNNNNNNNNNNNNNNNNNNNNNNNNNNNNNNNNNNNNNNNNNNNNNNNNNNNNNNNNNNNNNNNNNNNNNNNNNNNNNNNNNNNNNNNNNNNNNNNNNNNNNNNNNNNNNNNNNNNNNNNNNNNNNNNNNNNNNNNNNNNNNNNNNNNNNNNNNNNNNNNNNNNNNNNNNNNNNNNNNNNNNNNNNNNNNNNNNNNNNNNNNNNNNNNNNNNNNNNNNNNNNNNNNNNGGGCGCUGGGGCGGCGGCGGGGUGGUGGGGCGACGGGGCGGCGGCGAGUAACUGGGGAGAGAAAGAGAGAGAGGGGCGGGGUGGGGCGGCCGUUAACGUUAGUGGGGCCCUCCCUCUUUGCCGUCCGCCCCUUUGCUCUUUGCCAUCCGCUAGCGGACGGCAAAGAGGGGGGCCGUUAGGUUUUUUUAGCAGCUCGUCAGUGGGGCCCCUCCCUCUUUGUCGUCCGCUAGCCGACGGCAAAGAAUCUUUGCCGUCUGCUAGCCGACGGCAAAGAACUGGCUGAUGGCAAAUUAGGUCUUUGCCAUCAGCCAGUUCUUUGCCGUCUACUUUUUGGUAGCUGAUGGCAAAGAGCUUCUUUGUCGUCUGCUAGCUAAUGGCAAAGAGCUGGCAGAUGGCAAAGUAGCUGAUUCCAGUAGUGUAGUGCAUGUCAGUCGGUGGAACCGGUCUCCCGUAAGCGUACGUAUAAAGUUGGUCCGGCCGCUUCAUCCCACAAUACCGCUGAAGCAAAAUAAGACUAGUAGCAGCAAGAAAGUUGACAACAUCUACGCCCACAACAAAUUGUGUUCUACUCGUGCAAAAAGAACUACGCAUAGACCUAGCUCAUGAUGCCACUGUUGGGGAACGUUGUAGAAAACAAAAAAAAUCCUACGUUUUCACCAAGAUCCAUCUAUGAGUUCAUCUAGCAACGAGUGAUCGGAUGCAUCUACAUACCUUUGUAGAUCGCGAGCGGAAGCGUUCAAGAGAACGGGGAUGAGGGAGUCGUACUCGACGUGAUCCAAAUCAUCGGAGAUCCUAGCGCUGAACGGACGGCACCUCCGCGUUCAACACACGUACGGUCAGCGUGACGUCUCCUCCUUCUUGAUCCAGCAAGGGGGAAGGAGAGGUUGAUGAAGAUCCAGCAGCAUGACGGCGUGGUGGUGGAGGCAGCAGUCACCGCAGCAGGGCUUCGCCGUUCUACUGCUAGAGGGAGAGGUGUAGCAGGGGAGAGGGAGGCGCCAAGACUUCAGGGUGCAGCUGCCCUCCCUCCCCCUCCUUUAUAUAGGCCCCUAGGGGGGUGCGCCGGCCCUAGGAGAUGGGAUCUCCUAGGGGGGCGGCGGCCAAGGGGGAGGAGUGCCUCCCAAGGCAAGUGGAGGCGCCCCCUCCCUAGGGUUCCCAACCCUAGGCGCAUGGGGGCCCAAGGGGGGCACACCAGCCCACUAUGGGCUGGUUCCCUCCCCACUUCAGCCCAUGGGGCCCUCCGAGAUGGGUGGCCCCACCCGGUGGACCCCCGGGACCCUUCCGGUGGUCCCGGUACAAUACCGGUGACCCUGAAACUUUCCCGAUGGCCGAAACAACACUUCCUAUAUAUAAUUCUUCACCUCCGGACCAUUCCGGAACUUCUCGUGACUUCCAGGAUCUCAUCCAGGACUCCGAACAACUUUCAGAUUACUGCAUACUCAUAUCUAUACAACCCUAGCGUCACCGAACCUUAAGUGUGUAGACCCUACGGGUUCGGGAGACAUGUAGACAUGACCAAGACGACUCUCCGGUCAAUAACCAACAGCGGGAUCUGGAUACCCAUGUUGGCUCCCACAUGCUCCUCGAUGAUCUCAUCGGAUGAACCACGAUGUCGAGGAUUCAAGCAACCCCGUAUACAAUUCCCUUUGUUAAUCGGUAUGUUACUUACCCGAGAUUCGAUCGUCGGUAUCCCAAUACCUCGUUCAAUCUCGUUACCGGCAAGUCACUUUACUCGUACCGUAAUGCAUGAUCCCGUGACCAGACACUUGGUCACUUUGAGCUCAUUAUGAUGAUGCAUUACCGAGUGGGCCCAGAGAUACCUCUCCGUUAUACGGAGUGACAAAUCCCAGUCUUGAUCCGUGUCAACCCAACAGACACUUUCGGAGAUACCCAUAGUAUACCUUUAUAGUCACCCAGUUAUGUUGUGACGGUUGGUACACCCAAAGCAUUCCUACGGUAUCCGGGAGUUACACGAUCUCAUGGUCUAAGGAAAAGAUACUUGACAUUGGAAAAACUCUAGCAAACGAACUAUACGAUCUUGUGCUAUGUUUAGGAUUGGGUCUUGUCCAUCACAUCAUUCUCCUAAUGAUGUGAUCUCGUUAUCAAUGACAUCCAAUGUCCAUAGUCAGGAAACCAUGACUAUCUGUUGAUCAACGAGCUAGUCAACUAGAGGCUUACUAGGGACAUGUUGGUGUCUAUGUAUUCACACAUGUAUUACGAUUUCCGGAUAACACAAUUAUAGCAUGAAUAAAAGACAAUUAUCAUGAACAAGGAAAUAUAAUAAUAAUCCUUUUAUUAUUGCCUCUAGGGCAUAUUUCCAACAGGUCCGACUACGGAACCAAAAUAAAAGAAGACUACCCCAAAUGCUACACAGAUGCCCGAUCGUCCCAACUGGGCUCCACUACUGAUCAACUGAAACGAAACAACACAAUGAACGAGAUCUUCAACUAGCUCCUCCUUGAGCUCGGUUGCGUCACCUGCACGAUUUCAUCGGCACCUGCAAACUGGUUUUCGAAGUAUCUGUGAGUCACAGGGACUCAGCAAUCUCACACCCUCGCGAUGUGGAGCUGCAACAGGAGACUAGCAUGUUUGGUGGCUAACAUAUGCAAAAGAGAGCGAGAAGAGAAGGCAAAAGCACAAUCGAGAAACUAUGAUCAAGAAGUGAUCCUAGAACAACCUACGUCAAACAUAACUCCAACACCAUGUUCACUUCCUGGACCCCGCCGAGAAGAGACCAUCAUGGCUACACACGCGGUUGAUGUAUUUUAAUUAAGAUCAACUUCAGAUUUUCUACAACCGGACAUUAACAAAUUCCCAUCCACCCAUAACCGCGGGCACAGCUUUCAAAAGUUCAAAACCCUGCAGGGGUGUCCCAACUUAGCCCAUCACAAGCUCUCAUGGUCAACGAAGGAUAUUCCUUCUCCCAAGACAAUCCGAUCAGACUUGGCAUCCCGGUUACAAGACAUCCUCGACAAUGGUAAAACAAGUCCAGCAAGACCGCCCGAUGCACCGACAUCCCGAUAGGAGCUGCACAUAUCUCGUUCUCAAGGCACACCGGAUAAGCAAUCUGUACAACUAAAAUCAGCCCUCGAAUUUCCCCGAGGUGGCGCUGCAAGGGGCUCUAGUUUGGACCAACACUUAAACAAGCAUUGGCCCGGGGGGGUUAAAAUAAAGAUGACCCUCGGGAUGCGCGACUCCUAAGGGAAAAAGGCUAGGUGGCGAAUGGUAAAACCAAGGUUGGGCCUUGCUGAAGGAGUUUUAUUCAAAGCGAACUGUCAAGGGGUUCCCAUUAUAACCCAACCGUGUAAGGAACGCAAAAUCAAGGAACAUAACACCGGUAUGACAGAAACUAGGGUGGCAAGAGUGGAACAAAACACCAGGCAUAAGGCCGAGCCUUCCACCCUUUACCAAGUAUAUAGAUACAUUAAUUAAAAUAAGAGAUAUUGUGAUAUCCCAACAAAAUAUUCAUGUUCCAACAAGGAACGAACUCCAAUCUUCACCUGCAACUAACAACGCUAUAAGAGGGGCUGAGCAAAGCGGUAACAUAGCCAAACAACGGUUUGCUAGGACAUGGUGGGUUAGAGGCUUGGCAUGGCAAUAUGGGAGGCAUGAUAAGCAAGUGGUAGGUAUCGCAUCAUAGGCAUAGCAAAAGAGCGAGCAUCUAGCAAGCAAAGAUAGAAGUGAUUUCGAGGGUAUGGUCAUCUUGCCUGAGAUCCCGCAAGGUAGAAGGACGAGUCCAUGAAGAAGACAAACGGACGUAGUCGAACGGAUCCCCACACACACGAUGUUAUAGGAACCAACCCGAAGAAGCAACACCGUAAAGGAGCAAACAACAUAGUAAACAACCAUCACAUAAACAUGGCAUGAUGCACAAGCAAUUAUGAUGCAUGUCCGGUUUAUGAGGUAUGGCAUGGCAAAAUGCACAAACAACACUACAAAUUAAGUGGAGCUCAACAUGCAACUCCGUUGCAUAUUUGUCAGGACCCCGACUCAAUGCCACAUCGAUCUAGCAUGUAACACCUCAUAUCACUUUGUGGCCUCACGCACGGUAUUCCCACGGGUGUCGCUUUACCUUUGCCCGGGACCGUUUGCGCCUUUUGGCUCACGUAUAUGAUGAUGUCGCUAGCAUCCAUAUGAUAAGGAGCCCGGGCUGACAUGGCUAGUCGUAAACCCAAAGUGGCACAGACUUACAGGGACAGGCAUCCAUGACCCAGCAUCGAACGUGUCGGUCAUCAGCGAGUGAAUCCAGGCUGUAGCACUGGGCUAACAGGACUCCGGUGAACCGGGCUGUAGCGGGCUAACAGGACUCCGGUAUUCAUCGCGUGACAUUUCCCCGAAGGGACAGACACAGGAACGAAGAAGGACACAUGCCGGCCAGCCUAAGUGUUCCGGAGCAGUAGCAAGCUACCAUGGCUCGGUGGAAACACUAGGAGACAUUUCCCGGUAAGAGAGGCUACUAAAGAUAAACAACUAGAUGGUCAGAUCCCACACAUACCAAGCAUUUCAAUAACAUACACACAAUAUGCUCGAUAUGUGCAAAUACAACAUGGCAUCACAACAUGACUCUACGACCCAAGUAAUUUAUUCAUUAGGCUCCGAGGAGCGAGAUAUUACAAACAGGGGUCUCAUGACCCAACAAUCAGAGCAUACAAGUCAAAGCACAAGCGGAAGCUAUCAUGUCUGAGUACAGACAUCUAUAAAUGAAAAAGGCUGAGAAGCCUGACUAUCUACCAGAUCCUGCCGAGGCACAAGAUCGUAGCUGAGGUAUCAAGCUAAACAUCGAAGUCCACGCGGAACUACUAGCGAGACCGAAGUCUCUCUGCAAAAACAUAAAAUAGGCAAACGUGAGUACAAAUGUACCCAGCAAGACUUACAUCAGAACUAACUACAUAUGCAUCAUUAUCAACAAAGGGGAUGGUGGAGUUUAACUGCAGCAAGCCAGCUUUGACUCGGUGGCUAUCCUAAACUACGACUGCAAGUAACUCCUUGAGGUGGCGCACACGAGUCCACAUAUUCACCAUAUCAAUGCACCACUAUGGAUCCGCUCCCGUCUCCCUACGAGAACGCCAUCCAUAGCACUCACGCUUAUCUUGCGUAUUUUAGAGUAUCCACUUUCACUUGUCUAUGAACUGAUAUAAGCAACCCAGAAGUCCUUUUCCGUGGACACGGCUAUUCGAAUAGAUGAUGUUAACCCUGCAGGGGUGUACUUCUUCACACACGCUCUCACCACUUACCGCCGUUUACACGACAUGUACUCGGUAACCUUCAAGCGGAAGCCCAACGUGGGUGUCGGCCACGGCCUACCUAAACACUCAAGUCUCUAGUCCAGGUUUAUCGCCUAUUCGGGUUCCAUCCAUGAGGAGAUCCGGCCGGAGUUUCGCUCACAGCCCCAAACGAUGUGAACAGGGUUCCCGAGACACCAAACGGGCGCCCGGUUUACCCGGCCACGUGCCUACCGCAUCACAGCCCACCCCUACGGUCAGCGCUGCGCACAGCCUCCAGCAUACUACAAACACCAGAAACUACUUGCAACUCCUGGACAGAGGACAAGGGUGACCAAGAAGACGAGAGGGUCCAUUGGUUUCGGGCCCAAUGCGUGGUAGUAGCUGAAUCAUGGAUCACAAACACAGAACUCAGUUCCUGAGGACGGCUGCAAUGAGACAACCCACCAUGUACUCCUACAUGGCCUCUCACCGCUACCUUUACCAAAUCGUGUUCACACGCUUAGCUCACACACCGUAGGACAUGUUCACACACCUCUGAUUCAUCCCGGAUGAAUCAGACCUGACUCAACUCUAAGCAGUAGCAGGCAUGACAAACAAACAUGAAUGAGUAGGCACAACAGGGCUCAAACAACUCCUACUCAUGCUAGUGGGUUUCAUCUAUUUACUGUGGCAAUGACAGGUCAUGCAAAGGAUAAACGGGUUCAGCUACCGCAGCAAAUAACAGAUGAAUCGAUGUUGUCCUAAUGCAGUAAAAGAGAGCAGGAGCGAGAGAGAGUAGGAUUGUAUCGGAAUGAACAAGGGGGUUUUGCUUGCCUGGCACUUCUGAAGAUAAUAUAGUUCUUCAUCGGUGUCAUCGAUCACAUCGUCGGUAUCACGUCUAUCGAGAGGGGACAAAUACCGGCAACACAGAAGGGAACACAAUCAAUGCAAUGCACAAUAUGAUGCAUGAUCAUGACAUGGCAAAAUGAAUGUGUUUUGGGCUAAUGCAACUAGCAACAGAUUAAAUGAAGUUGGUUUGAAUACAAGAUUCAAAUUCAAACUCCAUAUGUGAUUAUUCAAAUGCCAUUUAAUUGAUUUGUGCUAAACAGCAGCUAUAAGUUGUUCUAACAUGCAUGAAAGUGGUACAGAUGGAUUCCUUGAAUUUUUCAGAUAAUUUUUCAUAUAUAAAUUAUUUAAUUUGGAGUUACGGUUGAAUUUCUAUGAAUUUUAGAAGUUUUAGGCAUUUUCUGGAAUUUCCUGAAUAUUUAGAAUUAAAAUAAUUCCAGAAAAUGAUUUAUGGCGUCAGCACCACGUCACGGUGACGUCAGCAGGGUCAACUAGGCUGGCUCGGGUCAAACCUGACGUGUGGGGGCCACACGUUAGUGACACAGGACCUAAUCCCGGUCAAACCCAGCGCUGACUGGGGUUUGACCAGGGGUGGGGCCCACAGUCAGUGGCCUAGGGGGUUGGUUAGUGCGUCAUUAGUGGCUAACGACAGCGCCACGUCACUGGCCACCGGAGUUCGGCCGGCGGCGACCCGAAACGCGGCGGAAGUUCACCGGGGUUGCGCUACGGGCGGCGGCUGGACGCGCGAAGGGCACCAGAAGGUAGCCUGUGCCCGUGCGCAUCUAGGGGGGCCAACGGGAGGUGCGGGGGGUGGCCGGGGUUCGCCGGAGUGGAGCCCGAGGCGGCAGCCGGAGCUCGGGGUUGGGGCGAGUUAGUGCUACGGUGCGCAAACGAGCGAGGUGAGCGGCUAGCGGGGCGCUACGCGGUGCGAGGAGCGAGUUAGGCAUGCCAGGGUGACCAAAUGGUCACCGGAGCUACGCCGGCGAUGAGCUCAGGCGGCGGCGUGCUACGGCCAGCUAUGAAAUGGCGGCUACGGCGAGCGGCAAGCCACGGGGUUAGGGGCAAAACGUGCAGGAGCUCACGGUGGUUCGGAUGGGGUAGAUGACGAGCUCGGGGAAGCGGAGACGGCGGCGAAUCGACGGUGAAGAUCCUCGGCGGCCGGCGAUGGAAACGGCGAUGGUGGCGGCGUUGCAGCGUGUCCGGGACCUUGUGGCUCGGUGGGGAGAAAGAGGGGGUCGAGGCGGAGCCUUUGAGCGCAUCGGCGAGGCUAGGGGGUGGCGGUGGCCGCGAGGGAGCUCGUCGGUGGCGGCGGCUCCGUUCGGGCGAGUGAGAGAGAGGUCCAGGGGAGAGGAUGAGGACGCGGGAGAGUGAGGGAGAGAGGCAGGGAGGUGCGUGGCAUCUCCGGGGCGUCGAGGAGGAAGCAGGAGAUGGCCAGGGGGAAGCAGGAGGUGGCCGAGGCCUCUCGGGCGCGCGCCACGCCUCGCCUCUGCCUACUGGCAGAGGAAGACGACAGGGGCGGGGGGAGUGGAGAUGGGCUAGGCCGUGCUGGGCCAGGUAAGUGGCGCCAGGUAACUUCCUUCUCUCUCUCUCUUUUAUUUCUUUUCUAUUUCUGUUAUUUUGUUUUUGAUUUGAUUUAAAAUACCAAAUCAUUUAAUAAAAUCCUGGAAACAAUUAUGUGGCUAGAGUUGAGAUAUACCAAACCACAUAAAAUGUUCCAGUAAUUAUUGGACAUAUAUUAUUUAUAUAUCAAAUAUAUAUCCAAUGCAAAUAGCUAUUUAUUUAAUUCAAAGGCCCAAAAUAAUUAACUCUGAGAUACCAAAAAUAUUGUUUUGAGUUUUACCUCUUUGCAAUAUUUUCAGAGACUAAGAGGAACAUUUUCUUGGACUUCUUUGAGGAGAUUUUAAUGUUGAUCAUUUUUAGAAGGUUUCUGAGGCUUUGAAAAUUCCUCAAAUUUCAUUUGAAUUUGAACAUGAUGCUCACAUGAGGUCUAGCCUAGUGCAUAACAGGACCAGGGAUGUGACAACUCACCCCCACUAAACAAAAAUCUCGUCCCGAGAUUCAAGCGUAGGGUAAGGUGAAGGGGGAACGCAAACUAGCACAAUCUUCACGAUCCAGUUGCACUUCAAAUGAACGUUGAUUCAAUCACCAUCUUUGACUCGAAGUCUUGCCUUGAGAAUUCCUGUCAACAUGACAUGGAGGGAAGAAGGAGACUCUAGAGGGGUCGAUCUUCUCGAAGAUCGAACAACUCACAGAAUGAGACAUAGGACCAUCUCUCGGGUUGAGACACGAGAUACACAUCAAGAGGGGUGGAAAGAAACGGAUGACGAAGGUUCACUAGGUAGACAACAAUUUCACGCUUAAGAAGGUGGUAAUCGAUUGUCAACGUAGCGAGGAGUUGAGUUGCCAUGAAACCACAACGAGGCACCUUAGGGAAGGUGACUCGUAGAAAUAUCCCCUUAAGUGGCAAAAAGAAUUACCUUUGAUUCAUAGAUCAUUGAAACUCUUUAUAUCAUCCUAAGGCAAAACACAGCAAUCGAUUGGCGGGGGUCGAUAGAAUGGCAUACUCGGACUUGGAUGAUGUGGAUUACCUUGUUGAAGACAACGUAAUGGAUGAAUUUCCUUAUCACUGGAAAUGGAAGAGACCCAUGGUAGAAUGGCACAUUGUUGGUGCAAGCUGGGAACAAAAUGCAAACGCUGGGAAUGAUUCUGGUAACUAGGGAAGAACCCAACAACAGAGAGUGAAUUCACUGUUUGAAAAGGUCAUAGCAUUGCCGAGGAAACUGAGAGCAACCCAGUUAGUGCUGAUGAUAACACCUAGCGCUUGUGCGUGCUCUCAAGAACUUGAGCAUUUCCACAAUCAUCAAGGUUUUAUCAACAUCCGUGUCAAGGGUGCUGACAACACAACAUACUACCAUGAUGGCUAAUGAUGGAUGAUGCAGAUGCAAAGGAAGAUAACACUUUCUCAGAUUUCACCUUAGCGAGGCCAAGGAAGCAAAAUCUGGAUGAUCGACCGAGAGACAUUUAGCACUCCGCUUCUAAUGUUCUCCUUGAUGUGCUAGUGUAUCCCAUUCAUAGAUAUGGUUUGAUUACUAGAACAUCAAGUAAAAGGUCGGACUUCGGAAGCUCAAGAAUCCAUAAGGAACAACUACUAGAAUAAGUUCUACGAGAUCCUUAUGGGGGGGGUGGCCAACUGCUUCAAUCAAGAUACUACAAUAAUAGGUCUUCCGGCUGGGUGUGUUGGCCAUGACAUCCACUUUACCGGUUUUCGAGGGGCCGAUAUUAUAGUUCUUGGGAAAUGUUCCAAACCAUCAUAUCUGCCUGAGAUUCAGAUCUGGUUGGUGUCAGGAUAUUCCAGGCUCAUCGAGUCUAGGAAGAAAAAUGAAAGUUUGCAACACAAAUCGAUGAAAUAACGUUGCGAGAUUCUCAGGAAAUGAACUACGAUAGCAAGCUCCAAAACAUGAGUUGGUUCUGCUACACAUGUGUGAACACGCUGUCUCAGACAAACAUGAUCACGUGGUAGUCUUACAAUAAAACACUACCGAGUUCUGGUAGGGAACCACCAUUAGGGAUAUAGGGAUCUUGUGCACGAACUAGUAUUUGCACAGCAACUCCUUUUCCUUGAACAAAUCAGUCAGUGGCUUGGUGUGCUAGGAUACACAUAUGGAAUGAAGAUGAUCAGUCUAUCAAACCACAGAAUACUUCGCACGUGCAUAACUGACUUGGGAUGGUUCCAGAGGAGAUAAAAACAUGCUUUUCUCGAAUUCACGGCGGCAACUUACAUCAAAUGCACGCGAAUCAAAGGAAGUCACUUCUUUCAUCCAAACAUAUGCUUCAUGAACGAGGCAUGAAGAAAAUGCCUAUAAAAGUUUCCAACACUAGGUUGAUGUUCAACAUGAAUCAUGGGGGGAGAUAAGGAUGUUGUCAAUGGGCUCAACAACAACUCAUCGGAAUUUCCAUAUCACUGGACUUCCACCACCAUGUGAACACGGUGAUAGUAUUGGUCAUACCAAAGAUGUAAUGGUGUAUGCUCGAGGGAUCAACCACGAGUAAGACAACAUUACGAGCAUCGUUGGUACUGAUUUGAUUUGACGAUAGCCCACACUCAAAUCAAGGGAUUGAUAAGACAAUAGGUCCAGCAACUGAUCACAGGGACCAAUCGAUGAAGAUAUCAUCUUUCUUCAACACACACUACACAAGAAUAUCCCUUUGGCACGAACUAAGUCAGGCAAGCUUUUAUCUUCCAACUCUCCAAGUUGUUGUCUAGCUUAACCAACUAGCUCAGGGAUAUCUAACACCGAUCUUGGAGAGAGGGUGGUUCACAAGAAACCAACUUGAUCACGAGCUCAACAUAGCGGUCAGGUGACAACCUGGUGAUACUUUCGAGAGGAUAUUCGGAAAAUCACGAACCACCGGUAUGUUACUAAGCUCGAGAACAAUCUUGCUUUUCAGGGCAAGAUGAUAUGAUCAAAUGAGCGAGGACUUGACAAAAUCCUAACUCAUCAAUCAAAGAGUGCACCAGGAAUAAGGACUAGGUAGCACGAACAGUCUUAGAAUGAUCAUUCAAGAACCAACACGCUAAGAAUGAAAUUAUUGUCCAUUUAACUACCAAGCAACAGAGUUGCUAGCAGUAUUGAUUUCACACACCACGAUUCACUUGUCGGCAUUCCGGUUACAAUAACACAGGAACCGAGGAAUGAACAAUGAUGGCAAGAAGUAUCACUGUACCAAGAAUUCAUAGGAUGGUGUGCAAUUCCCAUGAUAAUCUUAAUAUAAAGAUGGUAACACUUCAGGGUGGAACAGAACAAAAACUGGAUUAGUAUUUUGAUCUGCGGAGUACAACUACUUUGACCCAAUCCUGGAAAUGGAUAAGGUACUGGAGUUUGUUUCUCCUAGUCAUUCCGGAAUAGAAUGGCUUGACAGACCACAAGAGUAAUAGGCAUCGAUGAACGAAUGCACACAUAAUCUUGACUAUCAACUGAUAGACGAGGGUCAGAAAACAGCUAAAGGGGAACAACUCGAGGAACAUAUAACUUUCUGAGUUGUGGAUGCAUAGAUUAUUAUGUCGAGCGAAGUUCAACAUAAUUCUUCCGGAUAAUCCAUGCGAAAUGGUAGAACUGGCGGAGUCAUAACAUAGAAUCGAGAACUCAUCAAGAGCUCUGGUUGUGAUCUUUUGGUUCAAGGAACUUCUGCCAUAAACGGUUCAUAGUAUUUGGAAGAAGGAAAAUACCAUGGACCUCGAGGACUAAUGCAAAAGUUACUAAUAUCCUAAAGGAACUAGCAACACUAUCGACAUGAGGUAAGUAGAGUGAAUCUCGGGUUCAAAACCCAGAAAUAGAAUACCUACUACUAAGUAGCAUCACGGGAUGCUUCCGAGAAUAAAGGCCAGAAUCAUCACACUGGGAACACAGAUCAUGGCUAGACCACUAGAUGAUCCCCUGAGACACCUAGGGUCAUAAUAAUUAUUCCAACAUAAAGGUCGAGGCAGUAGAAUACCUCAACUCAACAAUUACUGUGAUUGAGCUGGCAUAAAGGAGCAUCGAAACCAGAGGGAAAGGAUUUUGCAAAUGCAUCAGACUAUUUAGAAACCUGGAAUGACUCGGACAGCAUAACGGCUGUAAAUGCUCAGAAAAGAUUUGAGACAUUCACAAAAAUGGUGGCAUAACCACUCAGAAGCACAAUAUCAAGGUUUCGAGAUCAACAGUUAACGUACGGAAGUAGUAGAAACUGGACAGAGGCUUGAGUCCAACAAGCUUACAAGUCUACAGAUUAGUAACACGAGAUCCUGAUAGAAAGAAGAGAUAGCCUAGUUCUUAAUCCCGUAGGAAAGAUGAGAUGAUUCAGUUCAGAAGGGCAUGAGGUAAAGGAGUAAAAAGAGCCUUACGUUCCCAUCCCACAAUCAAUUCCCUUAUAUAACUAAAGAAUUUCUAGACUCAACUUCGACCAGUUUGGCUUGGUAAUCCUACAGGCAGUCAAGCUCUGAUACCAACGCUGUCAGGACCCCGACUCAAUGCCACAUCGAUCUAGCAUGUAACACCUCAUAUCACUUUGCGGCCUCACGCACGGUAUUCCCACGGGUGUCGCUUUACCUUUGCCCGGGACCGUUUGCGCCUUUUGGCUCACGUAUAUGAUGAUGUCGCUAGCAUCCAUAUGAUAAGGAGCCCGGACUGACAUGGCUAGUCGUAAACCCAAAGUGGCACAGACUUACAGGGACAGGCAUCCAUGACCCAGCAUCGAACGUGUCGGUCAUCAGCGAGUGAAUCCAGGCUGUAGCACUGGGCUAACAGGACUCCGGUGAACCGGGCUGUAGCGGGCUAACAGGACUCCGGUAUUCAUCGCGUGACAUUUCCCCGAAGGGACAGACACAGGAACGAAGAAGGACACAUGCCGGACAGCCUAAGUGUUCCGGAGCAGUAGCAAGCUACCAUGGCUCGGUGGAAACACUAGGAGACAUUUCCCGGUAAGAGAGGCUACUAAAGAUAAACAACUAGAUGGUCAGAUCCCACACAUACCAAGCAUUUCAAUAACAUACACACAAUAUGCUCGAUAUGUGCAAAUACAACAUGGCAUCACAACAUGACUCUACGACCCAAGUAAUUUAUUCAUUAGGCUCCGAGGAGCGAGAUAUUACAAACAGGGGUCUCAUGACCCAACAAUCAGAGCAUACAAGUCAAAGCACAAGCGGAAGCUAUCAUGUCUGAGUACAGACAUCUAUAAAUGAAAAAGGCUGAGAAGCCUGACUAUCUACCAGAUCCUGCCGAGGCACAAGAUCGUAGCUGAGGUAUCAAGCUAAACAUCGAAGUCCACGCGGAACUACUAGCGAGACCGAAGUCUCUCUGCAAAAACAUAAAAUAGGCAAACGUGAGUACAAAUGUACCCAGCAAGACUUACAUCAGAACUAACUACAUAUGCAUCAUUAUCAACAAAGGGGAUGGUGGAGUUUAACUGCAGCAAGCCAGCUUUGACUCGGUGGCUAUCCUAAACUACGACUGCAAGUAACUCCUUGAGGUGGCGCACACGAGUCCACAUAUUCACCAUAUCAAUGCACCACUAUGGAUCCGCUCCCGUCUCCCUACGAGAACGCCAUCCAUAGCACUCACGCUUAUCUUGCGUAUUUUAGAGUAUCCACUUUCACUUGUCUAUGAACUGAUAUAAGCAACCCAGAAGUCCUUUUCCGUGGACACGGCUAUUCGAAUAGAUGAUGUUAACCCUGCAGGGGUGUACUUCUUCACACACGCUCUCACCACUUACCGCCGUUUACACGACAUGUACUCGGUAACCUUCAAGCGGAAGCCCAACGUGGGUGUCGGCCACGGCCUACCUAAACACUCAAGUCUCUAGUCCAGGUUUAUCGCCUAUUCGGGUUCCAUCCAUGAGGAGAUCCGGCCGGAGUUUCGCUCACAGCCCCAAACGAUGUGAACAGGGUUCCCGAGACACCAAACGGGCGCCCGGUUUACCCGGCCACGUGCCUACCGCAUCACAGCCCACCCCUACGGUCAGCGCUGCGCACAGCCUCCAGCAUACUACAAACACCAGAAACUACUUGCAACUCCUGGACAGAGGACAAGGGUGACCAAGAAGACGAGAGGGUCCAUUGGUUUCGGGCCCAAUGCGUGGUAGUAGCUGAAUCAUGGAUCACAAACACAGAACUCAGUUCCUGAGGACGGCUGCAAUGAGACAACCCACCAUGUACUCCUACAUGGCCUCUCACCGCUACCUUUACCAAAUCGUGUUCACACGCUUAGCUCACACACCGUAGGACAUGUUCACACACCUCUGAUUCAUCCCGGAUGAAUCAGACCUGACUCAACUCUAAGCAGUAGCAGGCAUGACAAACAAACAUGAAUGAGUAGGCACAACAGGGCUCAAACAACUCCUACUCAUGCUAGUGGGUUUCAUCUAUUUACUGUGGCAAUGACAGGUCAUGCAAAGGAUAAAGGGGUUCAGCUACCGCAGCAAAUAACAGAUGAAUCGAUGUUGUCCUAAUGCAGUAAAAGAGAGCAGGAGCGAGAGAGUAGGAUUGUAUCGGAAUGAACAAGGGGGUUUUGCUUGCCUGGCACUUCUGAAGAUAAUAUAGUUCUUCAUCGGUGUCAUCGAUCACAUCGUCGGUAUCACGUCUAUCGAGAGGGGACAAAUACCGGCAACACAGAAGGGAACACAAUCAAUGCAAUGCACAAUAUGGUGCAUGAUCAUGACAUGGCAAAAUGAAUGUGUUUUGGGCUAAUGCAACUAGCAACAGAUUAAAUGAAGUUGGUUUGAAUACAAGAUUCAAAUUCAAACUCCAUAUGUGAUUAUUCAAAUGCCAUUUAAUUGAUUUGUGCUAAACAGCAGCUAUAAGUUGUUCUAACAUGCAUGAAAGUGGUACAGAUGGAUUCCUUGAAUUUUUCUGAUAAUUUUUCAUAUAUAAAUUAUUUAAUUUGGAGUUACGGUUGAAUUUCUAUGAAUUUUAGAAGUUUUAGGCAUUUUCUGGAAUUUCCUGAAUAUUUAGAAUUAAAAUAAUUCCAGAAAAUGAUUUAUGGCGUCAGCACCACGUCAUGGUGACGUCAGCAGGGUCAACUAGGCUGGCUCAGGUCAAACCUGACGUGUGGGGGCCACACGUCAGUGACACAGGACCUAAUCCCGGUCAAACCCAGCGCUGACUGGGGUUUGACCAGGGGUGGGGCCCACAGUCAGUGGCCUAGGGGGUUGGUUAGUGCGUCAUUAGUGGCUAACGACAGCGCCACGUCACUGGCCACCGGAGUUCGGCCGGCGGCGACCCGAAACGCGGCGGAAGUUCACCGGGGUUGCGCUACGGGCGGCGGCUGGACGCGCGAAGGGCACCAGAAGGUAGCCUGUGCCCGUGCGCAUCUAGGGGGGCCAACGGGAGGUGCGGGGGGUGGCCGGGGUUCGCCGGAGUGGAGCCCGAGGCGGCGGCCGGAGCUCGGGGUUGGGGCGAGUUAGUGCUACGGUGCGCAAACGAGCGAGGUGAGCGGCUAGCGGGGCGCUACGCGGUGCGAGGAGCGAGUUAGGCAUGCCAGGGUGACCAAAUGGUCACCGGAGCUAUGCCGGCGACGAGCUCAGGCGGCGGCGUGCUACGGCCAGCUAUGAAAUGGCGGCUACGGCGAGCGGCAAGCCACGGGGUUAGGGGCAAAACGUGCAGGAGCUCACGGUGGUUCGGAUGGGGUAGAUGACGAGCUCGGGGAAGCGGAGACGGCGGCGAAUCGACGGUGAAGAUCCUCGGCGGCCGGCGAUGGUGGCGGCGUUGCAGCGUGUCCGGGACCUUGUGGCUCGGUGGGGAGAAAGAGGGGGUCGAGGCGGAGCCUUUGAGCGCAUCGGCAAGGCUAGGGGGUGGCGGUGGCCGCGAGGGAGCUCGUCGGUGGCGGCGGCUCCGUUCGGGCGAGUGAGAGAGAGGUCCAGGGGAGAGGAUGAGGACGCGGGAGAGUGAGGGAGAGAGGCAGGGAGGUGCGUGGCGUCUCCGGGGCGUCGAGGAGGAAGCAGGAGGUGGCCAGGGGGAAGCAGGAGGUGGCCGAGGCCUCUCGGGCGCGCGCCACGCCUCGCCUCUGCCUACUGGCAGAGGAAGACGACAGUGGGGGGGGAGUGGAGAUGGGCUAGGCCGUGCUGGGCCAGGUAAGUGGCGCCAGGUAACUUCCUUCUCUCUCUCUCUUUUAUUUCUUUUCUAUUUCUGUUAUUUUGUUUUUGAUUUGAUUUAAAAUACCAAAUCAUUUAAUAAAAUCCUGGAAACAAUUAUGUGGCUAGAGUUGAGAUAUACCAAACCACAUAAAAUGUUCCAGUAAUUAUUGGACAUAUAUUAUUUAUAUAUCAAAUAUAUAUCCAAUGCAAAUAGCUAUUUAUUUAAUUCAAAGGCCCAAAAUAAUUAACUCUGAGAUACCAAAAAUAUUGUUUUGAGUUUUACCUCUUUGCAAUAUUUUCAGAGACUAAGAGGAACAUUUUCUUGGACUUCUUUGAGGAGAUUUUAAUGUUGAUCAUUUUUAGAAGGUUUCUGAGGCUUUGAAAAUUCCUCAAAUUUCAUUUGAAUUUGAACAUGAUGCUCACAUGAGGUCUAGCCUAGUGCAUAACAGGACCAGGGAUGUGACAAUAUUGACGAAACACCAUGUGACUUAUUUAGUUCAAUCUUGUUUAUGUACCCAACAAGGUUAAAUGUCGUUAGCAUGGCAAGAGGUGAAGCAUGAUGAAACUAUCUAAUCUAGGCAAGUUUAAAUGAGGCCGGAACAACAAAACAACAAGUCCGGAAACUCCUCAUAUGCAUAUAUUAGGUUUGGUACUGUUCUUCCCUAAACAUAAUUCUAGAGUUGUUAAACAUGCUAUAUGAGUGCAUCAUGUUAAACUAGGCAUUUUUCUACCCCAUUUACAUAUAAAGAUUAUUUAAAUCCGAGCUAUGGUUAUUUAGUUAUGAAUUAAAUCAUUUUAACAUGGCAUAGGAGCAAAUAUAAUCAAGCAACAUUUUAAACUUUUUAGGCAUGGAUGAAAAUGAUAUAUUAUUAAUCUACACAAAAUUCUAAGCAAGUUUCAUAUAUUAAGUUUUUACAUGUGAUGCUUAGUUUGUAAGUUAAAAUAUGCAUGAAGUUUAUGGGCUAAUCUGUAAAAACUACAGCAUCUCGAUAAUAGGCAAAAUCGUCUAGAUAGGAAAAAACAUUACACGGGCCGAAUUAGAGCACAAAGGGCUGGGGAAGGAGCUCACCUAGCGGGCCGUGGCCCGAUCGAGGGUGGCUCAGACUGGCAAGGGAGCGGCUGGGCCUAGCGCGGGCUGAAUCCACGCGUAGUCAACGCAACCACGCGUGACGAAGCGGGCGAGGGGAUCCUCCGGAUUGAACAGAGGCAGCGGCCACAGGAGCUUGCGAGGAACGGGACUUGGAGCGGGCUGCGGUCAACGAAGGGGAAAAAGGCAGCGCUCUAUCAAACCGGACGGAGUAGAGGCGAGGCGAUGCAGAUGCGAGGGAGGCGGUCGCGGGCGGCCGGCGACGGGCUUGAACGAAGACGACAGGCGGCGAGGAGGAGGUCCUGGGCGGCAGGGACUUGGCGUCCGGGGCUUGAAGCUUGAAAUGGCGGCGCCAUGGCAGGGCGUCCUUGGCGGCAGACCUCGUCGGCAGGGUCAAGGGGUCGUGCCCGCGCAUCGGGCGCGCGAGGAGGCAGCUACCUCGGUCAUGGCUUGCGGGGGCGCGGACCCAGGCAUGGGGACUUCGGCAGGACGGCAAGGCUGGAGCGGAUGCAGGGGGUCAACGCAGACGGUCCGGGCGGCAGCGGGACAUGGCGAAGACGGGGCAUCUCCGGCAAGGCGAGGAAGGAGAGGACAGCCAUGGAGAGGCCCUGGAUGGCGGAGGUCGUCGAGUCCUGUCCCUGGCGAAGAGAGACAGACACAGAGAGGUGAGACGGAGAAGAAAGAGAGAGGGGAAGGAAGAGAGCAGAGGAGGAACGGCGACGGGGUCGGCCUGCAGGCUCGCGUGAGGUCUUUGCGAGGAGAGGCUGGGAUGGAUCGGCGCUCCUCUCGAUCCAGAUCGAGGCAGGCGCUCUUGAUUGGCCGGGCAUGGAAAACCGAGUGGAGUUAGGUGGGGGGUGGCGGCGCUGCGAGGGGAUUUGGGCAGGUGGAUGGAGAAUGGAUGGGACAGAUCCCUAGGUUUUAGGGUUAGACUAGAAUGUAUAGCGAGUGGAAAUUUGGGUAGGGGCUAAUUCAUCCCUUCGAUCGUAAUCAGACGACCGGAAAAAACUAGAUAGGGAGUCCAAACAAGAAAACGGUGAUGUUUUGUAGAUGUUUGGGGAUGAUCCGGACCCAACGGUGACGACUGCUCGGGUCGGGUCCGGGACAAUUUUUGGACGCGCGCGAGGGGUUCGAUGCACUGCGCAGAGAGGGGUAGGCAUGUGCCUAGGUGGACUGUGGAGAGCGGGUUGGGCUGAGAGAAGAGGGGAGAGAUGCAGCCCGGCAGGGUUUUCGGAGACCGAAAACGUCCAACGUUUGACCGACUAUAUUGCUGCUAUAGUUUAACGGUUGGGCUAUCAAACGGACUCCGAACGCGAUGAAAUUUGACAGGCAGUCUUCCUACACUAAAAUAAGACCACACGCCAACUUUCAUCCCAUUCCGAGAACAUUUUCUGGCCACUUAUAAAAUACUAUUUUGAAGGUGCCGCGGGCGCGUGCAAGGGUGUCUGGACUCAGAACGGACAACGGACGGAACUGGGGAACCCGAACGAAUGCAAGUUUUUAAAACAUGAUGAUGCAAUGCGGAUGAUGACAUGGCAAGAUGCAACACGCAAGCAAAUGACAAGGCAACAACAGCGAAUAACUGAAGGACACCUGGCACAACGGUCUUGGGGCGUCACACCAACCUUGAUGGCUAACGGCAUGGAGGACCCAAGAACCAACUGAGAAGGAAAGAGAGAAUGAGUAACAUAUCAGCUUAUAGACAUUUCAUCAAACACGUCAGGAGCAUGUACCGAAGAACACCUCACAUUCUUAUGACAACAAUGAGCAGCGGUAGAAUGCAAGGAGCAGUAGCAAACCGAAAA
rnacentral:lncRNA from 1 species